rnacentral:lncRNA from 1 species
CAGAAAAUAGUAAGAUAAGAAUAUGAGAAAAUAUUAAAUAUGUUUUUGUUGUUGUUUUAGAAAGUGUCUGACUCUGUCACCCAGGCUGGAGUGCAGUGGCACGAUCUUGGUUCACUGCAACCUCCACCUCCCAGGUUCAAGCGAUUCUCAUGCCUCACCCUCCCAAAUAGCCGGGAUUACAAGCACGUGCCACCACACCAGGGUAAUUUUUUGUUUUUGUUUUUGAGACGGAGUUUCGCUCUGUUGCCCAGGCUGGAGUGCAGUGGCGCGAUCUCAGCUCACUGCAACCUCCGCCUCCCGGGUUCAAGCGAUUUUCCUGCCUCAGUCUCCCGAGUAGCUAGGACUACAGGCGCGUGCCACCACGCCCAGCUAAUUUUUUAUAUUUUUAGUAGACAUAGGGUUUCACCAUGUUGGCCAGGCUGGUCUCAAAUUCCUGACCUCAAGUGAUCCGCCCACCUUGCCCUCCCAAAGUGCUAGGAUUACAGGCAUGAGCCACCACACCUGGCCUAAAUAUGUUUUUAAAUUUGGGACUGCCUGUCCAUGAGAAAGGUAGGGAGAAGAGAAUUCACCUGGCACCCCAAGGCAGUAGCAAGGGGAGAGGAGAGAGAACUAGAAAGAAGACUUACACCUUUGGAUAAGGAGCUGCAAGUGGGAGAGUUAAGGGGAGCCUCCAGGGGAAGUGCUGCAAAGAGAAUUCUUUGCUGUGCAGGGGCCUGCACGAGGGCCUUGGAUCGGGGUCCUGUGGGGCGAGGGUGGGCUGGGUGGAAAGGUGGGUAAGCAGGCCUGACCCUGAGGCCAGGGCAGGUAAAGUAUGGUUGCUGCUCCUCUGCCUGCAUUGCCAGAGAGCUGCAUGGUUAAGAUGCAACAUUCAGCACCGUCAGGAAGCUGGGCUCCAAAGACUCCCAGAGCCCUUUCCUUCCCCUACACCUUCUACUCCCACAGGGGUAAAGAGCAGGCCAUUCUGCCUCCUAAGCCUCCAUGGAUGGGGGACUAAGUGGAGUUGCCUAGGCCUUCCCUUUUCUGAAACAAGAGCAUCAUAAAGUUUCUACAGCCAUCCCUGUCCCUGACUGCCCAUAGCGCUCGUCCUGGGCCAUCUCCAGUCCCAUUCUGUGCCCACGUUGUGCCCAGCUCCUGACUCUCCCAGGUCCAGGGAGGACAGUGCUGUCUCCAUUUCUGCUUUGGUGGAGCUGUAACCACAACAUGCCAUGCUGCUAAGAACAUGUUUCUAUGGGGCUGUUUCCACGUGUGCCAUCUCCUUAGUCUACUGCCUUCUCCAGGAUAUAACUCUCUAUUUCCUCAGUCCUCACUUUGUGAAGUAUGGCUUCAUCACCAAGCAUCUGUGAGAUCCCACAUGACUCCUCUGCCUUCUCUGGCCUUUUUUCCCCCACACUGAAAUUACCGGAUCUGGACCGGGUGAUGGACAAUGUCCAGGAUCUGUUGAUCUGUUUCCCUUCCAAGAGCUGUGAGUCCAUUAAAAAGAUUCCUACAGCCCAGAAUUUUCAAAGGGGGUGGGAGAAGGAAGGAAAGAUUCUCCUUUCUCUGCUGAACCACUAAAGGAUCAUUAAGCACUCAAAAGUCUAAGGCAACACAAAAAUGCUUAAUAAUUGCCAGGGAUUAUUUAUGAGGAAUGGAAGAGAGGAAAGAAAUGGGGAAAUGAAUGAUCUCAAGCUGGCAAAGUGGUUUUGCUCCCAGAGGACCAAGAAAGAUGCUUAAAAUUCAACUCCUUUUGAAGACAAAAUGAAGGAUUCAGCGAGCCAGGGGUUGCAGGUCAGGGGCUAACUCUACGGAGAAGGAUGUGGGCCAUUACCAGAGGAAACUGGCAGGGUUGGGAGUUAACCUGAAUGACACCAGCUCCCUGCCCCUAUUUGAAAAGAAGCUUUGAACAAAAAGAACAGGUUUGCCACAAGUAUUACAGAACCAGGAUUAAUAUUAUUAUAUUCAAAUAUAUCAUACAAAUAGGUAAGAAGAAAAAAACAUUAACCCCAGUAGAUAAAUGAGCGAAGAACAUAAACAGACUGUUCAUAAAGGAAAAAAUAAGUCACUUUUCUCUUAAUAAACAAAAUACUGCAAACCCUCAUUAACAAAGACAUGUACCUAAAAAUGACAAUUAGACACAAAUUUUUACCCAUAACAUAAACAGAGUUGUUUUCUCUUAAGGAGUGUUCAUUAGAACAUGUCAAAAGCUGAGAUAAUAUUGUCUUAGUUUCCUUGGGCUGCAAUAGCAAAAUACCAUCAACUAGGUGGUUUGUAAAUAACAGAAAUUUAUUUGUUACGGUUCUAGAGGCUGGAAGUCCAAGAUCAAGGUACUAGACGAUUCAGUAAUGCUGAGGACCCAUUUCCCCAGAGACGGUGACUUCUCACUGUGUCCUCACACAGUGGAAAAGGCAAGAGGCCUCCCUCGUGUUUCUUUUAUAAGGGCACCAAUCUUUUUACAAGAGUCCCACCCUCAUGACCUAGGGGUCAUGAGGCCCCACCUCCUAAUACCACCACCUUGAGGGUUAUGAUUUCAACAUAUAAAUUUUGGGAGGACACAAAUAUUCAGACCACAGCAGAUUCACUUGCUGAUAAGCAGGUAAAUGUGUCCAAUUUUCUUUGAAAUAUGUAACAAUAGUCAUAAAAAGUUCAUAUCCUUUGGCCCUAUAAUUUCAUCCCUAGAAAUUUAACCCAAGAAAAUAAUUAAAGAUAUGAACACAGUACCUAUACAGGAAUAGUCAUCACAGGAUUAAUUACAGUAGAGAAAUAUUGGAAGCAACCCGGUUGUCAAACAAGGAAAUGGCUAAGUGAAGGUAUGUUAACAUAAUGAAAUACAUGCAGGCGUUAGAAGUCAUGUUUUCAAAAAACACUUCAAUGGCAUGAAGAAUUUCUUCUAAUAUGAUGUUGACUGAAAAUACAAGCCGGGAAAACUGAAUAUGUCAUAAUAUCCGUAGGCAAAAACGUGUACUUUUGGAAUAUAUAAGCAUGGGCAUAGAAAAGAAGGUAGAAGAGUCUGGGCGCGGUGGCUCACGUCUGUAAUCCCAGCACUUUGGGAGGCCGAGGAGGGCGGAUCACAAGGUCUGGAAAUCGAGACCAUCCUGGCUGGUGGAAACUCCGUCUCCAUUAAAAAUACAAAAAAUUAGCCAGCUGUGGUGGCAGACACCUGUAGUCCCAGCUACUCGGGAGGCUGAGGGAGGAGAAUCACUUGAACCCAGGAGGCGGAGGUUGCAGUGAGCCGAGAUCGUGCCACUGCACUCAAGCCUGGUGACAGAGCGAGACUCCAUAUCAAAAAAAAAAAAAAAAGUGGAAGGAAAUACAUCAAAAUGCUAACAGUCAUCAGGACUCGGGAAAACAGAGCAGAAAAACAACCAGAAAAAAGUCUCAUGGUGGCCAACAUCCACCAGGAAAACAAAGAAACAGGGAAGCCUAUUCAGAAUAGAGAGGAAGACCACCCUUGGGAGGAGGAAAAGACCGCCUCCUACAGGAAAGACCUCCAGCCUACAGGAAAGAAUAAACAGAAACAGGCUCGCCAACUUGCCCCUAAUUUUCUUUGUUUCUUUUAAGUUCUGAGAUACAUAUGCAGAACGUGCAGCUUUGUUACAUAGGUAUACAUGUGCCAUGGUGGUUUGCUGCACCUUUCAACCCGUCAUCUAGGUUUUGUUGUUGUUGUCGUUGUUGUUUUGUUUGUUUGAGAUGGAGUCUCGCUCUGUCGCCCAGGCUGGAGUACAGUGGCACGAUCUCAGCUCACUGCAAGCUCCGCCUGCCGUGUUCACGCCAUUCUCCUGCCUCAGCCUCCCGAGUAGCUGGGACUACCGGCACUCGCCACCACGCCCGGCUAAUUUUGUUUUUGUAUUUUUAGUAGAGACGGGGUUUCACUGUGUUAGCCAGAAUGGUCUCGAUCUCCUGACCUCGUCAUCCACCCGCCUCAGACUCCCAAAGUGCUGGGAUUACAGGCAUGAGCCACCACGCCUGGCCCAUCUAGGUUUUAAGCCACGCAUGCAUUAGGUAUUUCUCCUAAUGAUAUCCCUCCCCUUUCCCUCCACGUCUCUGACAGGCCCCAGUAUGUGAUGUUCCCCUCCCUGUGUCGAUGUGUUCUCAUUGCUCCACUCCCACUUAUGGGUGAGAACAUGCAGUGGUUGGUUUUCUGUUCCCGUGUUAGUUUGCUGAGAAUGAUGGUGUCCAGCUUCAUCCACGUCCCUGCAAAGGACAUGAACUCAUUCUUUUUUAUUGGCCCCUAAUUUUCAAUGGGCCAUACCCAAUAGGCAGGUCAAUGAUGGGAUGAAUAGAGGUGGAGAUGAUAUGGAAAUGUUCAUGGAGGAGAUGAGAGGAAUCAGGAGAGAAUAAGGAGCUACAAUUGAGGAAUUGUCUGUGUAUCCUUAUGGGAAGCUGUGUAAUCCCCAUGACCAUCAUGAUGAAUUUUGCCAAUGCCUGGACUCCUGCCAUUUUCCAUGAGGUUAAUAUUGUGAUUCCCAUUGUUUUCUUUUUCCUUGCAUUUUCCUAAUAUGUCUUUACUCAUUUGCUGUGAACCUUAUGUUAUUUCCAUGUGUCAGGUGAGUCUUGUGCUUCCAGCUUCUAGCUUGAUGUUUGCAGAUGAUCGAUAAAUGUCAAUAAAUAAAGCCUUUGUACCCAGUCUGUUUCUGUCAUCAGUAGAACUUUGCUCAUUUGCAUGGAAAAAAUGUAAAGUUAAUAGAGCAAUUAAAAAGCAGUCUAUACAUUUAUUAUUGUCUCAUUUUUAAGAAUGUAUACUUAUGGAGGGCAGUUCCAAGAUGGCCAAAUAGGAACAGCUCCAGUCUACAGCUCCCAGCGUGAGCAACGCAGAAGAUGGGUGAGUUCUGCAUUUCCAACUGAGGCACUAGGUUCAUCUCACUGGGGCUUGUCAGACAGCGAGUACAGGACAGUGGGUGCAGCCCACCAAGCGUGAGCCAAAGCAGGGUGAGGCGUCACCUCACCCAGGAAGCAAAAGGGGUCAGGGAAUUCCCUUUCCUAGCCAAGGGAAGCUGUGACAGACGGCACCUGGAAAAUCGGGUCACUCCCACCCUAAUACUGUGCUUUUCCAAUGGUCCUAGCAAACGGCACACCAGGAGAUUAUAUCCCACGCAUGGCUCAGAGGGUCCCACACCCACAGAGCCUCACUCAUUGCUAGCACAGCAGUCUGAUAUCGAACUGCAAGGCGGCAGCAAGGCUGGGGAGGGGCGCCUGCCAUUGCUGAGGCUUGAGUAGGUAAACAAAGUGCCGGGGAAGCUCGAACUGGGUGGAGCCCACCGUAGCUCAAGGAGGCCUGCCUGCCUCUGCAGACUUCACCUCUGGGGGCAGGGCAUAGCCGAACAAAAGGCAGCAGAAACCUCUGCAGUCUUAAAUGUCCCUGUCUGACAAAUUUGAAGAGAGUAGUCGUUCUCCCAGCACAGAGUCUGAGAUCUGAGAACAGACAGACUGCCUCCCAAGUGGGUCCCUGACCCUCGAGUAGCCUAACUAGGAGGCACCCCCCAGUAGGGGCAGACUGACACCUCACAUGGCCGGGUACCCCUCUGAGACGAAGCUUCCAGAGGAAUGAUCAGGCAGCAACACUUGCUGUUCAGCAAUAUUCGCUGUUCUGCGGCCUCCGCUGCUGAUACCCAGGCAAACAGUGUCUGGAGUGGACCUCCAGGAAACUCCAACAGACCUGCAGCUGAGGGUCCUGACUGUUAGAAGGAAAACUAACGAACAGAAAGGACAUCCACACCAAAACCCCAAUUGUACGUCACCAUCAUCAAAGACCAAAGGUAGACAAAACCACAAAGAUGGGGAAAAAAACAGAGCAGAAUAGCUGAAAAUUCUAAAAAUCAGAGCGCCUCUCCCCCUCCAAAGGAACGCAGCUCCUCACCAGCAAUGGAACAAAGCUGGACGGAGAAUGACUUUGUUGAGUUGAGAGAAGAAGGCUUCAGACGAUCAAACUUCUCCAAGCUAAAGGCGGAAGUUCGAACCCAUCGCAAAGAAGCUAAAAACCUUGAAAAAAGAUUAGACAAAUGGCUAACUAGAAUAACCAGUGUAAAGAACUCCUUAAAUGACCUGAUGGAGCUGAAAACCAUGGCAGGAGAACUAUAAGACGAAUGCACUAGCUUCAGUAGCCAAUUCAAUCAACUGAAGAAAGGGUAUCAGCGGUGGAAGAUCAAAUGAAUGAAAUGAAGUGAGAAGAGAAGUUUAGAGAAAAAAGAGUAAAAAGAAAUGAACAAAGCCUCCAAGAAAUAUGGGACUAUGUGAAAAGGCCAAAUCUACGUCUGAUUGGUGCACCUGAAAGUGACGGGGAGAAUGGAACCAAGUUGGAAAACACUCUGCAGGAUAUUAUCCAGGAGAACUUCCCCAACCUAGCAAGGCAGGCCAACAUUAAAAUUCAGGAAAUACAGAGAAUGCCACAAAGAUAUUCCUUGAGAAGAGCAACUCCAAGACACAUAAUUGUCAGAUUCACCAAAGUUGAAAUGAAGGAAAAAAUGUUAAGGGCAGCCAGAGAGAAAGGUCGGGUUACCCACAAAGGGAAGCCCAUCAGACUAACAGUGGAUCUCUCAGCAGAAACUCUACAAGCCAGAAGAGAGUGGGGGCCAAUAUUCAACAUUCUUAAAGAAAAUAAUUUUCAACCCAGAAUUUCAUAUCCAGCCAAAUUAAGCUUCAUAAGUGAAGGAGAAAUAAAAUCCUUUAAAGACAAGCAAAUGCUGAGAGAUUUUGUCACUACCAGGCCUGCCUACAAGAGCUCCUGGAGGAAGCACUAAACAUGGAAAGGAACAACUGGUACCAGCCACUGCAAAAACAUGCCAAAUUGUAAAGACCAUCGAGGCUAGGAAGAAAUUGCAUCAACUAAUGAGCAAAAUAACCAACUAACAUCAUAAUGACAGGAUCAAAUUCACACAUAACAAUAUUAACCUUAAAUGUAAAUGGGCUAAAUGCUCCAAUUAAAAGACACAGACUGGAAAAUUGGAUAAAGUGUCAAGGCCCAUCAGUAUGCUGUAUUCAGGAGACCCAUUUCAAGUGCAGAGACACACAUAGGUUCAAAAUAAAGGGAUGGAGGAAGAUCUACCAAGCAAAUGGAAAACAAAAAAAGGUAGGGGUUGCAAUCCUAGUCUCUGAUAAAACAGACUUUAAACCAUCAAAGAUCAGAAGAGACAAAGAAGGUCAUUACAUAAUGGUAAAGGGAUCAAUUUAACAAGAAGAACUAACUAUCCUAAAUAUAUAUGCACCCAAUACAGGAGCACCCAGAUUCAUAAAGCAAGUCCUUAGAGACCUACAAAGAGACUUAAGACUCCCACGCAAUAAUAAUGGGAGACUUUAACACCCCACUGUCAACAUUAGACAGAUCAAUGAGACAGAAAGUUAACAAGGAUGUCCAGGAAUUGAACUCAGCUCUGCACCAAGCGGACCUAAUAGACAUCUACAGAACUCUCCACCCCAAAUUAACAGAACAUACAUUCUUCUCAGCACCACAUCGCACUUAUUCCAAUAUUGACCACAUAGUUGGAAGUAAAGCACUUCUCAGCAAAUGUAAAAGAACAGAAAUUAUAACAAACUGUCUCUCAGACCACAGUGCAAUCAAACUAGAACUCAGGAUUAAGAAACUCACUCAAAACUGCUCAACUCAUGGAAACUGAACAACCUGCUCCUAAAUGACUACUGGGUACAUAACGAAAUGAAGGCAGAAAUAAAGAUGUUCUUUGAAACCAAUGAGAACAAAGACACAACAUACCAGAAUCUCUGGGAUACAUUUAAAGCAGUGUAUAGAGGGAAAUUUAUAGCACUAAAUGCCCACAAGAGAAAGAAGGAAAGAUCUAAAAUUGACACCGUAACAUCACAAUUAAAAGAACUAGAGAAGCAAGAGCAAACACAGUCAAAAGCUAGCAGAAGGCAAGAAAUAACUAAGAUCAAAGCAGAACUGAAGGAGAUAGACACACAAAAAACCCUUCAAAAAAUCAAUGAAUCCAGGAGCUGGUUUUUUGAAAAGAUCAACAAAAUUGAUAGACUGCUAGCAAGACUAAUAAAGAAGAAAAGAGAGAAGAAUCAAAUAGACGCAAUAAAAAAUGAUAAAGGGGAUAUCACCACCAAUCCCACAGAAGUCCAAACUACCAUCAGAGAAUACUACAAACACCUCUACACAAAUAAACUAGAAAAUCUAGAAGAAAUGGAUAAAUUCCUUGACACAUACACCCUCCCAAGACUAAACCAGAAAGAAGUUGAAUCUCUGAAUAGACCAAUAACAGGCUUUGAAAUUGAGGCAAUAAUUAAUAGCCUACCAACCAAAAAAAGUCCAGGACCAGACGGAUUCACAGCCAAAUUCUACCAGAGGUACAGGAGGAGCUGGUACCAUUCCUUCUGAAACUAUUCCAAUCAAUAGAAAAAGAGGGAAUCCUCCCUAACUCAUUUUAUGAGGCCAGCAUCAUCCUGAUACCAAAGCCUGGCAGAGACCCAACAAAAAAAGAGAAUUUUAGACCAAUAUCCCUGAUGAACAUCAAUGCAAAAAUCCUUAAUAAAAUACGCAAACUGAAUCCAGCAGCACAAAAAGCUUAUCCACCAUGAUCAAGUGGGCUUCAUCCCUGGGACGCAAGGCUGGUUCAACAUACGCAAAUCAAUAAAUGUAAUCCAGCAUAUAAACAGAACCAAAGACAAAAACCACAUGAUUAUCUCAAUAGAUGCAGAAAAGGCCUUUGACAAAAUUCAACAGCCCUUCAUGCUAAAAACUCUCAAUAAAUUAGGUAUUGAUGGGAUGUAUCUCAAAAUAAUAAGAGCUAUUUAUGACAGACCCACAGCCAAUAUCAUACUGAAUGGGCAAAAACUGGAAGCAUUCCCUUUGAAAACUGGCAUAAGACAGGGAUGCCCUCUCUCACCACUCCUAUUCAACAUAGCGUUGGAAGUUCUGGCCAGGGCAAUCAGGCAGGAGAAAGAAAUAAAGGGUAUUCAAUUGGGAAAAGAGGAAGUCAAAUUGUCCCUGUUUGCAGAUGACAUGAUUUUAUAUUUAGAAAACCCCAUCGUCUCAGCCCAAAAUCUUCUUAAGCUGAUAAGCAACUUCAGCAAAGUCUCAGGAUACAAAAUCAAUGUGCAAAAAUCACAAGCAUUCUUAUACACCAAUAACAGACAAACAGAGGGAAAUUUGAGACCAGCCUGGCCAACAUGGCAAAACCCUGUCUCUACUAAAAAUACAAAAACUACCGGGGCAUGGUGGCACACACCUGUAAUUCCAGCUACUUGGGAAGCUGAGGCAGGAGAAUCACUUGAACCCAGGAGGCGGAGGUUGCAGUGAGCCAAGAUCAUGCCACUGCACUCCAGCCUGAGCAACAGAGCAAGACUCCAUGUCAAAAAAAAAAAAAAAAAAGCCUUCAGAUGAAAGUUGAGAUCCUACAGGAACAAUUAGGCUGAGAUAAUAUUUCCUUUUAAAUUAUAUAAUAUAAGCCUUCUGCCCUUUCUGAAUAGAACACUGUAAAAUUAUAUAUAUAUACAUAUAUAUAUAUAUAUAUGUAUAUAUAUAUGUAUAUAUUAGCCAUUUAUUCCACAAACACAGGGCACAUUUGUGUCCAACAUUAUGGUAGAUUUUAAAGAUAUGGAGAUAACUAAGUCAGAGACCCUGACCCCAAAGACUUUGCCAUGGGGAUUGGGGGAAGUACACUAGUAAUUACAGUAGGAUACAAAUGGCACAACAGAAACAUGCUGAAGGCGAGACUAACUCCUCAAUGAGUGAUGGGAAAGUUAUUUGAAUGGGUCUUCAAAGAUGCAUAGAGGUUAGCCAGAUAGACAAAGAGAAGGCAGGACAUUUCAGGUAGAAGGAAUUGCAUGUGUGUGGUAGGUAGAUUGCCCCCCAAGCCCACCAAAGACAUUCAUGUCUUAAUCCCCAGAACCUGCGAAUAUGUCACUUUAAGGUAAUGGACUUCUCAGAUGUGAUUAAGGUUAAGGCAAUUAGCCUGGAUUUCCCAGGCGGGCCCAAUCUAAUCACAUGAGUCCUUAAACUCAGAGACUCCCCUGGCUGUGGUCAGCGGGAGAUGAGACUACAUAAGAAUGCCAGAGAGCUGGGAUAUUGCUGGCCUUGUAGAUGGAGGGAGGGCUGAGGCAUAUGGCAGCCCCCUGGAGCUGGGGAUGAUAAGGAAACUGAUCCUUCCCUAGAGCCUCCAAGAAGAAAAGCAGCCCCACCAACACUUUGAUUUUCAGCUCAGUGAGACAUGCUUCAGACUUCUAACUUACAGAAAGGUAACACCAUUUGUGUUUUUUCAAGCCACUAGCCUUGUGGUGAUUUGUUACAGCAGCAACGUACACUAAUGCACCUGCAAAGGCAUGGAGACGCAGACUGAAUCACAUUCCUUGGCCCUCUUGGCCCUUAUCUCUGGCUUUUUCUGCAGACCAGGUUCAGCAGCACCUCCUCCAGGAAGCCUUCCAAAACUUGCCCAGACUAAGCAAACUCUUCUCUCCCAUGUGCCUCCGCACACCUCUCCUACUGAGUGACUCACGUAUGGAACACAGAGGACAAUGGGGUUCUGCAUCACAGACUGGUCACAUGCUCAUGAAACUCACCUCUUCCUCAGCCCACAGCCCAUUGGUGUCUCGGUGGGUCCCUGUGCCUCGUUCUCACUGAUGGAAUCUGAGCAGAAGUGAGGGGUCACUUCCAGGACAGGGCAGUCAAGGGCAAAAGGGGCUCCUGCAGGCUUUUCUUCCCUCUCCUCCUCAGAUGCUCUGUGUGAGCUACAGAUGGAAGGAAUCAAAGCCCUGAGUCAGUACUGGGAAGAGACCUGCCUAAUAGGAGCCUCCACAGAGGUCUGCACAUAAACGAGAAAUCGGCGUUUAUUGUCUUAAUUCCUUGGAUCUGGGCAAUUUUAUAGCAAGAGAAAGCUAAGCAACUUGGGCCAGGCACGGUGGCUCACAUCUGUAAUCCUAGCACUUUGGGAGGCUGAGGCGGGUGGAUCACUUGAGGUCAGGAGUUCGAGACCAGCCUGGGCAACAUGGUGAAACCUCAUCUCUACUAAAAAUACAAAACACUAGCAGGGCAUGGUGGUGGGCACCUGUAAUUCCAGCUACUCGGAAGGCUGAGGCAGGAGAAUUGCUUGAAUCCGGGAGGCAGAGGUUGCAGUGAGCCAAGAUCGUGCCACUGCACUCCAGCCUGGGCAACAAGAGUGAAAUUCCAUCUCAAAACAAAGACCCUCACCCAAGAUGUCUGCUGUUCCUGAGCUGAUGCUUUCUGACCUCUGAUGCCUGUGGGCUCCCUGCUUCUUUGUAGGUGCCUUGCUCUGCCUACCACCAACCGGAAUGUGAGAUUUUGCCCCCUCUUCAGUUUACACACACUUACAUAAAAUGCUGCUCACAGAAACACAUUGUGAAGAUUGGCAGGGGAUCAGAGGGGUUCCCACUGCAGCAAGGCAAACAACCACAGGGAAGCAGCAGGGCCCCCUCCCACGGGAAAUCCCCUGGCCCUUGUCCUCACCUGGUUCCAGUUUUCUUCCAUGUUUCUGGUUCCUUUCUCUCCACCCUCCAUUCUGUUUCAACUCCUACUCAGCAGGAAAAUCAGUAUCUCAUCCAGGUGGCUACUCGUCUGAAAUCCUGCACCUGCAAGAUAUCAGAGCCACCUUAAGCAGACAUUAAGCAGACCAGACUCCUGAACGUACUAAAUGACACUUACCUGUGGGAUGUGGUGCACACCUGGCAUCUGUCUCAGAGACUGGCCAGGCAAAGCCAUGUGCUUCUCAACUGACUGCUCAUUCCAAUCCCCUGGGGAGCUUUCAAACGGCAGAUGUCCCUGAAAUUCUCAUUUAAUUGGUGAGAGGCGGGGCCCAUCUCAUGAGAUGACUAGGAUGUGAAGUCCAGCACGAGAGCCCUGGCAGAACCUCCACUUUGGGAUGUGGGGGCUCAACACUGUGAUCUCAGUACUGAAGCUUGAGCCCUACCAAGGCACUUUCCCAAAUGAAGACCCUCUCUCCCUUAGGGGAGCCCCCAUGCUGGCUGCUAAGUUUCUUUGUUUAUCUCUUUACAUCUGAUUCUGUGCCAUUCUCCCUCCCUGGGCUGUGCGCUGUCUGCUCCUGGCUGGGGGCUGGGUCUUAUCCUUCUGGAUGAAGCAGGUGCUCAGCGAAUGUUUGGAGAGGGAUGGAGUGGGUGGGAGUGAGGUAGUGGGAGAGGGAUGGAACUGCAGGAAGGAAGCCCAGCCCAGAGGAUGGAACCAAGGCGUCACUGGCCUGCUUUCAGAGACAUUUCCCAUUGCAGAAAGGGUCUGGGUCAUAACCCAGUUAGACUAGCAUUCUGCACCGCAGCUGAGUUGGAAAUUAUGAUCCCCUGGCUUUACUGCCAGCCUGCUUCUCCUAGAGCACCAUUUCUCAAAUUCAGCUCUACUGACAUUUUAGGUCAAAUAAUUCUUCAUCAGCCUGGGAGAGAUGUCCUGUACAUUGCAGGAGGUUUGCAGCAUCUCUGGCCCUACCCACUAGAUAACCCAGUUGAAACAACUAAAAAUUACUUCAGACAUUGCCAAAUGCCCCAUAGGCAGCAGAAUCACCCCAACUGAGAACCACUGUCCUGGAGGUUUAGGUCUUCUCAACUACAGCCCCCACCCCAGCCACGUCGAGGCUCCCAUGAGCCCCUCACAGCAGUUUUGAGAACAGAAUGAGCUUUAUAGGGUAAUGUACUUAGCACAGCACUGGCUAAGUACCGUGAAAGACUUAAUACAUGUCAGUUACUAGUAGUACAAACUCUGAGAGACAGACUACUUGCAUGCAUGGGGAAGAAAACCGAGGUUCAGAGUCACAAAGUGACAUGCCCAAGGUCACACAGCUGGCAUCCAAAUUUAGACCUGUUUGACUUCAAAACUUUUGUCCUAUUCAUCUGAGACACUGUCUCUCUUCAUCAGGCAAUGGAAAGAGCGCAUCUGCUCCCACACCUGUGAGCUGAACCCAUCAUGCAAUCCUCAGGAAAGUCUGCAGACAAGAUGCCCCAGCCAAAGGCUGAAAUCCAUAAAUCCAGCAAGACCCCAGCCCUGAGGUCAGAGUGGGAGUGACAAGGAAGGACUCCCAUGACCAGGAGGAGAACCAGGUCUCUCGCCAUCUCUGGACCUUUCUGUCUCUGCAUUUCCACACAUGGGGUGUGUACCUCCCCUUCAAUGGUGAGCCCCAAAGGGCAAGGACUAUGUCUGUUGGUUUCUCAGAGCCAGGUAGGAAUGCAGUCUGAGAAAGAAGAAAGAAGCCUAUCAUUAAGACACAAAAUCAGAGUAACUCUAGCAGCAAAAAUGAAAUGAAAAUGCAGUUUUGUUAUUAUAAACUCAAGCUACAUCAAUCCCUCUAAUCUGAGGGAAAGAUUGGCCCAGAAGCCUGGGGCAGGCCUGAACCUUCAGGUCAAGGAGCUGCAGCUGUGUGAUCCAGGAGCAGGUGGAGGCCAGGAAGCAGGGCAGGUCAUGGCCCCCCAAAAGUCUUGUUACUGCCCAAGGCCAGGCUCCCAGGUCUCUGAUGUCUUCAGAAUUCAGGCAGAGUCAGUGGCUGUAGCCACCGCCUGGACACCCCCUGUAGUGCCCCCGAGUACUGUGGUGAAAGGUGACUUCUUUUUCCCUUCCUUUUAAGCCCAGGAGGCUAAUAAUAAAAUACUCUCUGUUUCUGAGUCUACAGGAGAAAAUGCCUUCUAAAUCCAUUAAGUUGCUAAUGCGUGCAUUUGCAGACCAGAAAGAAAGGUGCAGGAUUGAUGGAUGUACUUGUCAUAUUUAUGGUUUGUAGCCAUGUGAUUAAUGGGCUCUGUGGUUUAUAAUGCAAUGCUCAUUUCACUCUCCUCUUUAAGCUCUGGGUGAUUUAUAGAACAUUUAUAGGGCAUUGCUAUUGCAUUUCAAUGGAAUGACAGUGAUAACAUUUUAUCACCCUGGAUUAUCAAUUAGUCUCCUUUGAGAAAAGGAUGUCCCGGACUUAGUAUGGGAACAGGGUGAGGAGAGGGGAUGCUUCUCAGGAACAUUUGCAUGGUCACCUGGAGUUCAUGGCCUUUCUCCCUGAGAGCUGCCUCCUCGUUCCUCUCUAGGAUGAAUGGGCUGCACGUGUUCAAAGACAGCACAGGAGCUGGGAGCCUUCUACCCCCAAAGCCCUCCUCUCAUCCCUCACCAUGCUGUGCAGCAGCUACUCAUGGGUCUCUACCCACCCUGAGCCAGAUUCCACAUGCAGCCUCCAGAGAAAUCCCCUUCUCACAUCACACCCUUUCCUGGCCCUCCAUAACCCUCACUGCUUUCUCGAUGUGUGACCUUGGCUACCCUAGAUGGCCCCUCUGAAUCUCAGUCUCCUCAUCUGUAAAAUGGAAAAUGGGGAAAGUUUUUGGAAAAAGUAAAAUGAAAAAAAAAUUGCAGAGUGGUCGAGAGCAUCAAAUUGUUUAGCACAGUACCUGAGAUGCACGCCUUAUGCUGCAGCCACACACACACACACACACACACACACACACUGCUUGCUGUUCAUCCAUCCAGCUGCUGUUACCUCAGACCAGAAUUCCUUCCACUUCUUCAUCCAGUGAAAUCAUAUUCCUCCUUCAAGGCUUAACCAGAAUGCCCCCUCUUCUCUGAAACCUGCCUGAUUCUCCAAUAUGACAUUAUUCCCCUGCCCUUUCUCUGCACUCAUCCCAUUGAAUUUGCCCCUGUUUCUCUUUGCUCUACAAGCCUUGUUUCCUCUGUGGGUCUGUGAUGUCCUUGAGGGUGAGACUGGGCCCAAGACACGUCUGUCACCCACACCUAGUGCAGGGCCUGGUACCUAGUAGGUGAUUAAUACAAGGACUCAGAAGGGGCAAGGGCAGGUUGAGCAGGAACCUAGGGCAUAGGCAGGAGCCCAGGUAUAUUCUGGUAGCUCUUGAGAACCAGAACGCACACAGCACAGCCAAUGAGGAAACCCAAACAUGGGUCUACCUAUCCACAUGCAGCCACCUGUCCCCUCCACUUUAUUUUCAUCCUCUUUAUCCUCAUCCUCUGUUCUGACUCUGCCCUCAGUCAUUCAUCCAACAGCUAUGAAUAGAUUCCCACAAUGUGCCAGAUGCUAGAUAUGCACAGUGAACCAAACAGAGACAGCCCCUGCCCUCGUGGGUUUACAAUCUGGUGGGGACCGUAAUAAACAAAGAAGCACACAAAUGAGUAAUUACAAAUUUGACAAGAGCUAAGAAGGCCAAAGAGGGAAAUGAGAACUGGAACAGCCCGGAAGACCUACUCCAGAGAGGGUAUUAGGGAGACCUCUCCAAGUGUCUUAGUCUGUUUGCUGUUGCUUUAACAGAAUACUUGAAACUGGGUGAUUUACUUGAAAAGAGAUUUAUUUAGCUCAGGAUUCUGGAGGCUGGGAAGUCCAAGGAGCAUAGUGCUGGCAUCUGCUCACCUUCUGCUGAGGGUCUCGUGCUGCAUCACAACAUUGCAGAGAAGUUGAAGGGAAAGCCAGCGUGUUAAAGGGCAAAGACAAGAGGCGGCCAUUCUCAAAGGUAACUAUUCCAGACCCUCGAGCACAAAUGCAGUCUUAAGAGAACUGUAUUAAUUCAUUCAUGGGAGCAGAGCCCACAUGACCCAAAGGCCUCUUAAAGUCCUCACCACCUCUCAAUACUGUAACAUCGGCAAUUAAAUUUGAACAUGAGUUUUGGUCUGGACAAACCACAGCAUCCAGGAACUAGCAUUCUAGCUGAAUGGUGAAAGGAAGCAAGGGUUAUUCAUAGUCAGGAUACCAGCCAGUCUAUGUGGCUUUGUAUGAAUCAGGAAAAAAAGGCUCCCCUCUCCGGGCAGACACAGCCCUGAGCAAGCACUCAUCAUGGGAAGAACACAGGCUGAUUUCAGUCCCCACUUGCCCCCAGUGGUAGGAGUGCCCUUGUACAGUGCACAACCUACACAACUGAACACAGUGUAUGAGUGUCCCAUUUCUGGACUCACUCCAUUUCUGGAUUUGAUGACCCCAUUGGAUUUCUGGAUUUUAACCUUUUGUGUUUCUGAGGGUCUAAGUUCUCAUUUGCCAUUUGUCCCCUCCCAUUCCUGGCUGCCCUGGAUUACACCCCACCCCACAGAUCCAGCUCUUAACUCUGGAAAGCAGAUCUUGAUUUGAACACCUGACUGGUGUUUCUAGGAACUAAUAUCAGCCAGCAAAUAAGAGGAUAUAGAUACCAAAGCAGAAAAUUAAUCAUCAAGUUAUAAGUUAGCACACAGAGAAAGCAAAGAGCACUGACUAGAAGCCCCCUAAGGGCAGGGAUCACAGUAGAUCCCCAGCAGCCACACAGUGCCUGGCACAGACAGGGCACACCAUUGCAUGAGUAGAAAUAGACAUCUGUAAAAUAGACAGCUGUGUAAACACAUCCAUAGUUCAAAUUUGUACAGGCAGAGGAUAUAAACUGGAAAGGAGUCAAUGUGAAGAAGUCCAGGGACAGGGCAGCCUUUGGAAACUGGAGAAGAGGAAGAGCCAGAGAAGGAGAGUGGGUGGAAAUGAUCAAUGGGAAGAAAACCAGGAAAAUAUGGUUUCCUGAAGUCAAAAGAAGGGAGUGCUUCUAGAAUGACAGAUAGCCACCAAGAGGUCAGUUAAGACAAUAACACAAAUAUCCACUAGAUGUGACCAUCUGGGAGUAAUGUUUGUGGGAGAGUAGAAAAAUGCCUGAUUAGGGUGUAUUCAAGAGCAAAUGGGAGACAAGAAAUUGGUGACAGUGAGCAUAGUAAACUCUUUCAAAGAGUUUAGCUGUAAAAGGGAGUAAAGAAAAGUGGGAGCAACGGGAAGGGAUGUGGGGUCAAGGAAGGGUUUGGUUGAAGUUGGAAGACAUUACAGCCUGUUUGCAUUGUGUGCUCAUGGGAAGGAUCCAGAGCUUAGAAGAAAACCUGAUGAAGCAGGAGAGAAGAGAGUGGCGACAGCGAUGUCCUUAAGAAGGAAGAGGUAUCUAGUGCACAGGUGGAGAAGGUGGCCUUGGAUAGGAGCAGGGAUAGCCCAUCCAUUCUGUUACCAGGAAGGAAACAGAAUAAAUGGACAGAGACGCAAGCUUCACACACGUGAGAUGCUCAGUAUAUGUGAAAAUUACACUAUCCCACCCACCUGAUCCCAGGUGGCUCAGCUGCUUCCCACCUGUCUCCUUGGCCCAGACCCACAGACCUGUGGCUGCCUGGCCUGAUUCCUCUGUGCCUACCAGGCCUGCUUUUCUGCACUGCCCCCUCCUGGCUUUUCAAGAGCUGGCCUCCAUUUUUAGCAUGCCAGCAAGCAGCCUCCUGGACAGGCACUGACAGGCAGGAGAACAUGGCCAGGCCCUUGGCAGUCAUCAUGGAGCUCCAAGAAGCUGGCAGCCUGGGCACUGGGCUGCCUGCACAGCCACACAGAGUCAGGGACCUUUUGCCAAAUGUUGGUGAAAUGUCUCAAUGGCAAAUUUAAUUGUGCCCAAGUCUCCAUUCUCGGCUUCCUCUCCUCUCUGCAACAAGCCCCUCUACUGCCGUGUCCCCAGAAAUUAGAGGAGUGAGGCUGGGCAGGCAUGUCUGCCAAUGCCAGGAGCAGCUUUGAUUGAAAAGGGAAAUUGCAGGGCACUGAACAUCGCAGGAAUACUAGGAAGAUGAGGCCAACAUCUUCUGUGGAGUCUCAGGGUUGGGGCAUCCACACGGGCACAUCGAAGUGUACCACGCUGCACAAUGGUAGAAUGGCUGGCAGAGUGGUUCGGCACUUUCGGGGAAGCUCCAGGUGAUUCCAGAUGACAGGAGGUGACUCCCUGUCUUCCUCAUAGGGAGCUGCCAUAAACAACACACAGCUGGCAGGAGAGCCCAGAUGGAGCGAGAGUUACAGGCCAAGCACCACAUCUCCCCACCCACCCAGGGCACUGCUGACUCUGGGGCCAGCUCCGGGAGGACCAUUCCCCAGCCCGGCGCAAGGCUCUGCUGAGGUCAACCUUACAGCAGUGAGCAAGAGCCGUGGUUAAUUUGUCUGUAGAUAUUUCAAAAUAGGGAAUGAUGGUGCUGAAGUCCCUGUUUUUAGUGAGUCUGGAAGAGCGUGGUUCCUGACUUAUUUCUCAUCGAAGUUCAAAUGUAUCUGUUUGUCUCCCUUUCUCUUUCUCUCCUCUUCUGCUCUCUCCCUAGGUGUCUUUCAUUCUCAUUCCCUCUUUAAACUUACCUCUCUUGUGCCUCAUCAACCUUCCUCCUUUUACUAUUUCUUUCUUCACUAUCAUGGUUGUGCUCCUAAAAUAAUCAAGAUAGGACAGUAUAUUCCUUAAUAUUUACUAAUGAGCCUCUAUUCCAUGGCAUGACCGUAAGGAUCAAUCAUUGAACUAAAAUCAUUAGAUAAUACUACAUAUAGAAAAUAAUACUAUAGGCCGGGCGCGGUGGCUUACACCUGUAAUCCCAGCGCUUUGGGAGGCCAAGGCGGGCAGAUCACGAGGUCAGGAGAUCGAGACCAUCCUGGCUAACACGGUGAAACCCCAUCUCUACUAAAAAUACAAAAAAUUAGCCGGGCAUGGUGGCGGGCACCUGUAGUCCCAGCUAUAUGGGAGGCUGAGGCAGGAGAAUGGCAUGAACCCGGGAGGCGGAGCUUGCAGUGAGCUGAGAUGGCGCCACUGCACUCCAGCUUGGGUGACAGAGCAAGACUCCAUCUCAAAAAAAAAAAAAAAAGAAAAUAAUACUAUAUACAUUUAUAUACACAGUCACACAUUGCUUAAUGACUGGGAUAUGUUCAAGAAAUGCAUCGUUAGGCGAUUUCCUUGUGCAAACAUCAUAGACUGCACUUACACAAACCUAGAUGUUAUAGCCUACUACACACCUAGGCUAUAUGGCAUGGCCUAUUGCUCCUAGGCUACAAACCUGGACAGCAUGUUACUGUACUUGACUAGUCCAUUCUCGCAUUGCUAUGAAGAAAUAACUGAGACUACAUAAUUUAUAAAGAAAAGAGGUUGAAUUGGCUCAUGGUUCCACAGGCCAUAUAGGAAGCAUGGCAGCAUCUGCUUCUGGGGAGGCCUCAGCGAACAUACAGUCAUGGAGGAAGGCAAAGCAGGAACAGACACAUCUCACAUGGUGGGAGCAGGAGAAAGGGUUGGGGGAGGUGACACCCACUUUUAAACAACCAGAUCUCAUGAGAACUCUAUUAUGAGAACAGCACCAAGAGAUGAUGCUAAACCAUUCAUAAGGGAUCCACCCCCACGAUCCAAUCGCCUCCCACCAGGCCCCACCUCCAACACUAGGGAUUACAAUUGAACAUGAGAUUUGGGUGGGGACAUAGAUUCAAACUGUAUUAUGUACUGAAUACUGGAGGCAACUAUAACAUAAUGGUGUUUGUGUAUCUAAAUAUAUCUAAACAUAGAAAAAGUAUAGUAAAAAUACAAUAUUACAAUCUUAUGGGACCACUGUCAUAUAUGCAGUCUGUCAUCAACCAAAAUGUCAUUAUGGGGUUCAUGACUGCAUAUAAAAUCUGCAUCAUAACCCCACAAGGCAAAAUAACAAUAUUUAUCAUUAUAAUAAUAACCUAACCUACAUAUUUACUGUGUUUCAGACACUUUUCAAAGCACUUUCACGAGUAUUAAUAUGUUUAAUCCUCUCAAUAACUCUAAAUCCAGGUACUAUUACUACCCCUAUUUCACAAAAGCAAAAUAUCGAGGCACAAGUAAUUUGCCCAAAGUCACACCAUUAUGUAUUUUGCAGAGUCAGAAUUCAAAUUCAAGUAGUCUAGAUUCAAAGUCUGUGCCAUUGAAACUCAAAUUGAGUGACCUGUGUAAAGUCACACAGCCAAAAAUGUGUAGGAACAGGAUGCAAGCUCAUGAAUGUCUGAUCCCAAAUCCCAAUUCUUCUCUCCCAUCAGAACAUAUCGUCCCCACCUCUAACUUGGAAUGCAAAAGAGAUGGACAUUUUACACAUUAUUCUCUAAUUCCUUGUCAAACUUUCAAUGUUUCUUUUAUAACUGAUGCUUGAUGAAUUAUUUUCUCCCUGUGGAUCCCAGAUUGCCACUACAAUUAAAAAUUCCCGACUCUGUAGCCUACUUGAAUUACCUCUCUUCAAAGGACCCAUACAAUGAAGUACACUUCCAACUAAAAUCACCAUGAACUGGCACUAAUCUUUUUUUUCCCCUCUGAAGAUUUAUAAGUCCCAGUGGUUCACAUGAAUUAGAUCACUUAACCAACAUGUUUUGAGUAUUCACUAUGUGUCAGAAGAUGAAGUGUUUCCUAGCCCUCAAAAAGCUCAUGGUCUGGUAGGACAGAGAAGGCAAGUCCAUUAAUUCAAAGUCAAGGUAAGAAAGUGAUAUGAGCCCAAAAGUGGAACAGAUAUUACAAUGAGAGCUUGAAGAGCUAAAAGGGUCUUGGAACACUUUCUAGGGGAGGAGGCAAGAUAGCUGGGGAAUCUAUAAGAAUACACGGACUGGAUUUGGAAGGUAACAGUCUUGCAGGGUCUCAACACCACCACUGGAAGCCCUGCAGAUACAAGGACACAGAAGGUUGUAAACAUUGGACAUACUUUACAUCAUGCUCUGAGAGUUGGAUUUUUAUUAUUGUUAGCCCCUCUAUCACCAUCUUACCCACAUCACUUUAUAUAAGCUAAUUUGUCUCUUUUUUUCAGAAAAGAGAAGCAAAAAGAAAAAAAUCUACAUUUUGUUGUUGUUCUUCUUUGUGUGUUUGGGUUUUUUUUUUUUUUUUUAAGCUUCCUGGUUGUCUCAAUAUCAGAAAAACAAAACUAGUCUUCUUCAAACACCAUUUUUAUCAAGCCUCUUCUAGGCUUAAAACUCUCAGCACCUCCUCACCCCACUUGCCUGCAGGAUCUUGUCCAAACACAUCAGCUUGGCAUUGAGGUCUUCCAUGAUCCAUGUUCCAUGGAUCCAGUUCCAAAUGACUGCUCUGGCCUUAUCUCCUGCUAUUUCUGCACAUGCAUUUCCUCUAGGUAUACUGUGGAAGUAACCUACUCGCUGAAAAAGAAUACAGAAUGUGCUGAAGUUUGAUUAAGAAGGAGAGUUUAAAAGUGUUGCUGGAUCUAGAACCAGAAAUACCAUUUGACCCAGCAAUCCAAUUACUGGGUAUAUACCCAAAGGAUUAUAUAUCAUUCUACGAUAAAGACACAUGCACACGUAUGUUUAUUGCGGCACUAUUCACAAUAGCAAAGACUUGGAACCAACCCAAAUCCCCAUCAAUGAUAGAGUGGAUAAAGAAAAUGUGGCACAUAUAUACCACGGAAUACUAUGCAGCCAUAAAAAAGGAUGAGUUCAUGUCUUUUGCAGAGACAUGGAUGAAGCUGGAAACCAUCAUUCUCAGCAAACUAGCACAGGAACAGAAAACCAAACUCCGCAUGUUCUCACUCAUAAAUGGGAGUUGAACAAUGAGAACACAUGGACACAGGGAGGGGAACAUCACAUACCAGGGCCUAUCAGAGGGUAGGGUGCUAGGGGAGGGAUAGCAUUAGGAAAAAUACCUAAUGUAGAUGACAGGUUGAUGGGUGCAGCAAACCACCAUGGCACGUGUAUACCUAGGUAACAAAACAGCACGCUCUGCACAUGUAUCCCAAAACUUAAAGUAUAAUAAAAAAAAAUGUUUAAUGAUAAUAACAAUAAUAAUAGUCAUCAUUACAGAUGAAAUAACAACCCAAAAACUCAGGGAUAUAAUAAACAAAACUUUCAUUUUGCCAUCACUGAAUUUAUUUACUUACUUACUUACUUAUUUAUUUAUUUAUUUAUUUAUUUAUUGAGAUAGAGUCUCACUCUGUUGCCCAGGCUGAAGUGCAGUGGCACAAUCUUGGCUCACUGCAACCUCCACCUGCCAGGUUCAAGCGAUUCUCCUGCCUCAGCCUCCCAAGUAGCUGGGAUUAUAGGCGUGUGCCACCACACCCAGCUAAUUUUUGUAUUUUUAAUAGAGACAGGGUUUCACCAUAUUGGCCAGGCUGAUCUCGAACUCCUGACCUCGUGAUCGGCCCGCCUCAGCCUCCCAAAGUGCUGGGAUUACAGGUGUGAGCCAGUGCGCCCAGCCUUAUUUUAUUUUUUUGAGACAGAGUCUUGCUCUGUCACCUAGGCUUGAGUGCAGUGGCGCAAUCUCAGCUCACUGCAACCUCUGCCUUCCAGGCUCAGACGAUUCUCCCACCUCAGCCUCCCAAGUAGCUGGGAUUACAGGCACAGGCAACCAUGCCUAGCUAAUUGUUUUUGUAUUUUUAGUAGAGACAGUGUUUCAUAAUGUUGGCCAGGCUGGUCUUGAACUCCUGACCUCAGGUGAUCUGCCUUGCUUGGCCUCCUAAAGUGCCAGGAUUACAGGCACGAGCCACCACACCCAGCCCACCAUCACUGAAUUUAACUACUUUCUUAAACUUCAUUUUGCUUGGGGGCAAAAACUGAACUUCACUCAGUUUCUGAUCUACUUCCCUACUAAGGAUUAUCUAAAUUCUCAAAAAUUUAGUAAUGUCAAAGUACAGAGUAUAGAGAGCAGAAUCUGAUCCUCAGUCAUUACCUUCUGGCCACUUGACAUCUUCAAAGAGUCUGUACUACUGUGUGUCUUUGUCCCAACAGCAAAGCCUCCAAGCUUUGUCACAGCUAACUUCCACUCAGGUCCUUCAUCAAGCUCUCUGAGGAUGACUAAGGCUUUUCUUGACAUCAGUGCUACAACUGGGUUCCAAAAAAAAAAGUCAUUCCUCCGCUUUCCAGGAAUUUUAUGAGGCUCAUGCAGUAAUCUCUGUCUAGACACCUGAAAUCAGUUCUAUUCAAUUCCUCAGACCAAAAUAGGGCAGAGGAGAAUUAUGGAUCUUGCCACGUUCUAAAGCCUUAUGCAGGAAAAAGGGCACAUGUUUCCUCUACUAUGAGGCACCGCUAAUUGGGAAAUUCUGUUGUCACCACUAUUUCCCUUUUAUUCUUCCCUAGAAAGAAAGUACAGGUAGAGGUCUUUCUAGGGACUAGACAUCUAAACCCCAAUCUUCACUGACUAGUCUCUCUUUCUUAAUUCCAGAAGAUUUGUAUCUCUGCCAUAGUUGGAAAAGUUUUAAAUCAUAAUGCAUUUUUUUCAAUAUAUUGAGAAGAGUGGAAAAUUUAUGUGAUGAUUGGUGAGUUAAUCAAAGUUUAAAUUUUUUAAAUUUCGUUUUAAACUUCAUCUCCAUAUGAAAUUCAAAAGUUUAUUAUAGGCCACAGAUCCAAGAAAAACAGUGAAUUCUAAUCAGAAUAAAUACAAACAAAUCUUCAGUGGAGCACAUUAUGGUCAAACUGCUGAAAGGAUAAAGACGAUAUCUUUAAAAUUUGAUAGAGUAUAAAAAUAUCAGUAUCUUAAAGAGAGAAAAAUGUCACAUCAUAUAUAGACAAUUCGUAAGAAUGACAGCUAAUGUCACAGUGGAAACCAAGGUAGCCAGAAAACAGUGGAACUGCAUUUUUAUAGUGCUGGAAGGAAAAAAAAACUGUCAACCAAGUCAAUCAAGAUGUCUGUAUCUAAUGAAAAUACCCUUCAAAAACAAAAGUGAAAUGAAAACAUUUUUAGACAAGCAAAAAACUAAGAGUAUUUGUCUCCAGCAGACUUGCACUAUAAGUAAUGCUGAAACAAGUUCUUCAAGCUGAAAGGCAAAUGAAAUCAGAUGUGGAAAGGAAUAGAGACAUAAGAAUAAUAAACAUCAAGGUAAAUAUUUAUGUGUUAUUUUAAUUAUAUUUGUUUUACAUAUUAUAUAUUUUAAAUUAUUUUAAAAGACUGUUUAAGGCACAAUAACUAUUUAUUGUGGGAUUUAGAAUAUACAGAGAGGAAAAAUAUAUAACAAGAGCACAAAAGGCAAGAAAGGGAUAAAAAUAAUUGUAUUGUUUUAAGGUUCUUACAUUGUUUUUCAAACAGUAUAAUAUCCUUUGAAGGUACAGUGAUGAGUUAAAGAUACAUAUUAUAAUCUCUAGAACAAUCCCCCCAACAAAAAACUAUUAUAUCUAAAAAGUUAAUAUGGGAAAUUAAAUUGAAUAACAAAAAUUACUCAUUUCAUCCAAUAAAACUCAAAAAGGAAGAAGCAGAGAAAUAAAGAAUAGAUAACUCACCAGGCAGAUCCUCCAGGCCUCAGCCUCCAGCCACCUCCUCCCCAGCCCCCCGCAGAGCUAUCAAACCAGUAGCAACUCAACAACUUCCUGGACAGAGCCUCCAGGGGCAAGUGAAAGCCUCUCCACCACUGCCUCUGCAGUGGAACUGCCCUUGCUACCCUUGGACUAAUGAAGGAGCAAACACCCUAAGUGCUUUAUCCACACCUCCAACCAGCUGCAAUCGACCCAAGGAGAGGAGGCCAGUCCACUUCCCAUGAGUACCGCACAUCCCCAACUGCUCAUCACCACACAGGGAACCCCUGGCUUGGGUCCACAGCACAGACCCUCCAUCCAGGGUUGACUGCACUGAUGAUUACUGAACAGCAUCUCUCUGAGGAGGAGCCCCCAGGAGACAAGCAAAUGACCUUUGGCCACAAGUACUACUAAGAUCCCUUCCUCUGCUGCCUCCAAGUUGGGGAAGAAACAUAAACACUGAGAUCACCCCAGAGCUGCAGCAGGCAGCCCAGGAGUGCCAAGUCACAACCUACAGCCAGCACUCAAGGGAGAGAGAAACCCACACCUUCAGAGCAUUGAGAGGGAAAAUGACUGCAACUGCAAGGAAACACAGGGGAGCUACAUAAUUGAGUGAGAGUUUACCAACUGACCAAUAAGCUUAAGUGUCACCUGCUGAACCACACCCCAAAGCUUCCACACCAAAAAUACCUCACUAACAGACACCCCUGAAACCAGAGGCAAGAAGACGGCUUCAAAUAAAGAUCCUGCACAAAACCUCAGCCCAGUGAAAACAUCCAGAAAAGAAGUCUAUUGACUGUACUCAAUCUACACUGCAGUUAAAGGAACACCCACACGCAGAGGUGAAAAUGAACCAAUGCAAGAACUCCAGUAAUUCAAAUGACCAGAGUGUUGUAUGUCCUCCGAAUGGCUGCACCAGUUCUCCAACAAGAGUUCUUAACCAGACCGAACUGACUAGAAUUACAGAAGAAUUCAGAAUAUGGAUAGGAACAAAGAUCAUCAAGAUUCAGGAUGGCAAAACUCAAUCCAAGAUAAGAAUCACAAUAAAGUGAAACAGGAGCUGAAGGACGAAAUAAUCAAUAUAAAAAAGAACCUAACAGGUCUGACAGAGCUCAAUAACAUAAUACAAGAAUUUCACAAUGCAAUCACAAGUAUUAACAGCAGAAUAAACCAAGCUGAGGAAAGAAUCUCAGAACUUGAAGGCUGGUUCUCUGAAAUAAGACAGUCAGACAAAAAUAAAGUAUACGGAAUAAAAAGAAAUGAACAAAAUCUCUGAGAAGUAUGGGAUUAUGUAAAGAGGCCAAAUCCAUGAAUCGUAAGCAAUGCUGAAAGGGUGGAGGAGAAAGCAAACAACUUGGAAAACAUAUUUCAGGAUAUCUUCCAUGAAAACUUUCCCAACCUUGCUAGAGGGGCUAACAGUCAAAUUCAGGAAAUAUAGAGAGCUACUGCAAGAUUCUACACAAGAAAAUCAUCCCCAAGACACAUAAUUGUCAGAUUUGUCAAGGCCAGAAUGAAAGAAAGAAUGUUAAAGGCAGCUAGAGAGAAAGGGGGCAGGUCACCUGCAAAGGGAAUGCCAUCAGGCUAACAGCAAGACCUCUCAGCUGAAACCUUAUAAGCCAGAAGAGAUUGAGGGCCUAUAUUCAACAUUCUUAAAGAAAAAAAAUCUUCAACCAAGAAUUUCAUAUUUAGCCAAACUAAGCUUCCUAAGUGAAGGACAGAUAAGAUCCUUUUCAGAUAAGCAAAUGUUGAGAGAAUUCAUUAACACAAGACCUGCCUUACAGGAGAUCUUGAAAGGAGCAUGAAAUACAGAGGAAAGACUGCUACCAACUAACACAACACUCUUAAACACACAGACUAGUGUCACUUUAAAGCAACCACACAAACAAGCCAACAUAAUAACCAGCUAACAGCACAAUGACAGGAUCAAAUCCACAAAUAUCAAUAUUAAACUUGAAUAUAAACAAGCUAAAUGCCCCACUUAAAAGGCACAGAGUGUCAAGCUGUAUAAAACAGCAAGACCCAAUGGUAUGCUGUCUUCAAAAGACCCAUCUCGCAUGUAAUGACACUCAUGAGCUCAAAAUAAAGGGAUGGAGGAAAAUCUACCAAACAAAUGAAAACAGAAAAAAGCAGGGGUUACAAUCCUAAUUUCAGGCAAAACAGAUUUUAACCAACAAAGAUCAAAAAAGACCAAGGAGGGCAUUACAGAAUGCCAAAGGGUUCAAUUCAACAAGGAGAUCCAACUAUUCUAAAUAUAUAUGCAUCCAACACAGGACCACCCAGAUUCAUAAAGCAAGUUCUUAGAGACCUAUGAAGAGACAUAGAUUCUCACACAAUAGUAGUGGGAGACUUCAGCACUCCACUGACAGUAUUAGACAGAUCAUCAAUCAAGGCAGAAAAUUAACAAAGAUAUUAAGGACCUAACAACAAUGUAUACAUUCUUCUCAUCACUACAUGCCACAUACUCUAAAAUUUACCAAAUAAUUAGACAUAAAACAAUCUUCACCAACCAUAAAAGAACAAAAAUCAUACCAAACAAACUCUCGGAGCACAGCACAAUAAAAAUAGAAGUCAAAACUAUGAAAAUCGCUCAAAACCAUGUGAUUACAUGGAAAUUAAACAGCAUACUCCUGAAUGACUUUUGGGUAAAUAUUGAAAUUAAGGCAAAAUCAAAAAGCUCUUUGAAAAUAAUGAGAACAAAGAUACAACAUAUUAGAAUCUCUGGGACACAGCUAAGGCAAUAUUAAGAGGGAAAUUCACAGCACUAAAUGCCCACAUCAAAAAGUUAGAAAGAUCUCAAAAUUACAACCUAAAUUCACAACCGAAAGAAUUAGAGAAGCAAGAAUAAAUCAACCCCAAAGCUUGCAGAAGACAAGAAAUAACAAUUCAGAAAUGAACAAAUGCGGAGAAUCAUGAAGAAACUAUAUUUAAAGAAAUAAAAACAAAAUGAUUAAGAUUAUACCAGCACUGAUAAAAGACAUAAAACCAAAGAUUCAAAGAAACAAAGAAAGCCUUAACCAGGAUAAAUUUAAAGAAAUCAAUAUCUUCAUACAUCAGAGGCAAACUUCAAAAUGCCAAAGACCCUAGAAUGUAGGUUCCAUGAUGGGAGGGGGUACCUAGCGCAUGAUAACCAUCAACAAAUACUUGUGCAAUUAGUGAAUUAAGUAGGAAAUCUUAAUUCAGAGAAAAGGGAUAUAUGAUAUUACCUACAAAGGAGCAAUUAAACUGACAACUGACUUUGUAGCAACUAUGAAAGCCACAAGAAAAUAGAUUAAUAUUUUCAAAGUGUUGAAAGUAACUACCAGAUUAGAAUUCUGUAUCAAGAAAAAAACUAUAUUUCAAUCAACAAAUGUGAAAUAAAGGCAUUUGUAGAGAGAAAAAAGACAGAGAAUAGUCUAUUAACAAACAAGGACAUGUUUCACAAGGAAGGAAAAUGAUCUCAGAAGGUUUCAGAUACAAAAAGGAAUAGAAACAAAUAAAUGGUAAAUAUAUGGGGAAAUCUAAACAAACAUUGAUUUUAUAAGACACAAUGACAUGCAAUAUGUGAAGUUAAGAAAUCAAGAAAGAAUUAAAAUACAAAACAAUAACAAACAAGUCAGGAGGCAGGUAAUCAUAAAGUAUUCUAAGGCUCUUGCUUUGUUCAGGAGAAAAAUAAAAUUGUUAAUUAACUUUAGAAUGUUGAUAUACAUAAUAUAUAAACUUACAUACAUUAUAUAUUAUAUACUUAUAUGUGUACAAUUAUAUGACAGUAUAUACUAUUACAUAUAUUUAUACAAUUAUGUGUUGUAAUAUAACAAUGCACAUAUAUUUCUAGAGAAACCAGAAAAAUAGAAAAUAAGUUUAGUAUAAAUUCUAAACAAGUGGAGAAAAAAGUGAAAUAAGGAGAAAAAUAUCUUAAGGCAAAAGAAAAUAGAAACUAAAAGAAAAAGCCUAGAAAAUGUGGGUCACAGAAAAGUUAAAAUCAGCAGAAAUGAAUCUAAAUAAAUUAAAAACCAGGCUGGGCAUGGUGAUUCACACCUAUAAUCCUAGCAUUCUGGGAGGCCAAGGCGGGCAGAUCACCUGAGGUGGGGAGUUUGAGACCAGUCUGGCCAACAUGGAGAAAUCUGUCUCUACUAAAAAUACAAAAUUAGCUAGGCGUGGUGGCACAAGCCUGUAAUCCCAGCUACUUGGGAGGCUGAGGCACAAGAAUCACUUGAAACCAGGAGGCGGAGGUUGCAGUGAGCCAAGACUGUGCCACUGCACUCCAGCCUGGGUGACAGAGAGAGACUUCAUCUCAAAAAAAAAAAAAAAUUAAAAAUCAAAAUCAAUGUAAAUGGGCUAAACUCUCCAAUUAAAAGACAGAGACUAUAACACUGUAUUAAGAACUCAAUCAUGACUGGAUAUGGUGGCUCACACCUGUAAUCACAGCACUUUGGGAGGCCAAAGCAGAUGGAUCACCUGAGGUCAGAAGUUUAAGACCAGCCUGGCCAACUGCCAACAAUGGCAAAAUCCUGUCUUACUAAAAAUAUAAAAAUUAGCUAGGCAUAGUGGUGCACACCUGUAGUCCCAGCUACUUGGGAGGCUGAGGCAUGAGAAUCACUUGAACCCAGGAGGUGGAGGUUGUGGUGAGCCAAAAUUGCACCACUGCACUGCACUCCACUCCAGCCUAGGCAACAGAGUGAGAACCUGUCUCAAAAAAAAAACAAAAAACAAAAAACAAAAAAACAAAAACAAACCUCAAUUAUAUGCUAUUUAUGAGGUUAAAAAAAGGUUGAAAAUAAAACAAUGAAAAAACUAGACAAAUCCCAACAAAGAGACAGCUGUCAGACUGAGAAAUAUUAAGGCAAAAAAAAUGCUAUCAGGAAGAUACAACAAUUCUAAACUUGUAUGCAACUAAUAACAUGCAUUCAAAUACAUAAAGCAAAAUUUAACUAUUAACCUAAUAUUCCCCAAAACACAUCAGUUAAUAUGCCAAACAUGAAAGAAUACAGUACCACUUAUUGAGCACUUAUUGUGGGUGCUCAUUUCCAAAAAUAAUUUUGCUUAAUCCUUAUAUCAAGCAGGUACCAUAAUUAUUUCCAUUUUACACAUAAAGAAAUCAAGGAUUAGAGAACUUAAAGAAUGUUCUCAAUAUCACAUAGCUAGUAAUGGUAGAACUGGUAUUCUAACUUUAAUCUAUCUAGCCUUAUAACUCAGAACCUUAAAGUGGGUAGAACACAGAAAUACAAGGUUAGCACAAUACUGCUAAAUAAAACUUGCAGAUAGCAUUGGGGAAUUUGUUAUAAAUAGGUGAUUUUCAGCCAACAGAAUGAAAUUCUGGAAAAAUGUCUUCUCCAUAUACAGGAGACUGUCCAGAACAAAGAAGAGAUGAGGCAGGAACACGGUCCAAGGCAGAAGAAUUGGUGCCAUAAUAGGGUACAGAGUAGGUUCACAGGGACUCAUAAGAACCAGAACUGGACAUCUCAGUGGAGCUAAAUCAGCAGCCAGAGUAUGCUGGUGUCAAGCUCAAGGUUAUGGGGUUAUAGCUGGACCAAAGUCCUGUUUCUCCAGUGUAAGAUGGGCCUGCUGAGUGGAAGAUAAGACUGAGCCUAAGAUGGGAUCAAAUGGUUCCAACUGUGAGAAAGAAAUAUUAAACAGGGGCUUGUACUGAGACUGAUCUCAACAAUGCAUAGAAUAGUACUCUAUAAAUGUUUGCAGAAGUGAGUUAAAUGCAAGAGAAACCCUGUGAUUCUAUCAAUGUCAAAAUCUUUACAAAUUUUUUCGCCAGGAUGUGUGUGCCUCUUGUGUCCCCCUUGCUAAAGGUACAACUUGGGUCAUAAAGUAAAUAGCUUCCAUCAUAGAAAAGUCUCCCUGAAAUGAUGCCAUGAUGGUGUUACAUGGUUGGGCUCAUUAAUGAAAAGUAGCAAUUUCACACAGAGCCAGCAUGGGUGAUUUCCAGUCGUGGAACAACUUGGCCUUAGCAGAGUCAUCAAAACUCUCCGGGGUCAUUGAACUCAAGAAUCCAUUGAGACACGGUUUAGCUCAGAAAGCCACUUAACACGCUUGGAAGAUCGUGGGUCUAAGUCCCUGCAUAAAAAUAAUACUUACAAGGGGUGUCUGAAAUUAUGCUCUAAAACCAAUUCACCACAUAAUAAAUAGGUCUCAUAAACAAACAUAUGACCUGGCCCCUACAACUUCUCUGAUCCCAUCUUCUACCACCCUUUCCUGUUCUCAUUCCCUCCAACUCAUUGCACUACUUUCAGUUCAUUGACCCUGCCAAAAACUCAUGCGCCUCGGGUUCUUUUCAUGUGCUAUUUCCUCUCCUUGGGAUGUCCUUCCAGACGGCCUCAUGGCUCACUCCAUUCCUUCAAGCCUUUGUCCAGUGUCUCCUCAUCAGCAAGGCCUUCCCUGACAGCCCUGAAUAAAAUAGCAACCCCAUCCAUGCCAUCUGCAUCCUGACCUUUUCCAUUCCUUUCUCCUGCUGUAUGUUUCUUUACAACACCUACCACCAUCUACAGGACUGCUAAAUAGGGGAGUGUGGAUUGGGUCUGGGGUAGGGGAAGAGUGACAGGACGAAGUUUUCUUUUACACUCACCAAGUGCCCACAAACUGUGAACCAGCCAUGUUUGCCAUCAGGGAGGCCAAGUCUCUAAUUUACACAAAAACAACAAAUGGGCUGUCAGAUACCCUGACCAUCUACUACAUUAUAUGUAUCCUUGUCUGUCUGUUUUUAUCUAUCUCCCUGUACAGAAAAAAAAAAAAGUUAACCUAGCACUCCUAACUGCUGUCCUUCAAAAGGCCUGUUUACGAGGUUGGCCCUUGGCUGGCAUCAGACAAUUUGGAAUUCCAGAGGGUUCCCAUUUCCUGUUAAAAGUGACUCACUGUUCCAAACUGUUUGUACAAUGUGGUUUAUGCUGAACACUUGCUUUCCUACUGAGAGGCUAGAGUUUCCGUGCUAAGAAGAGGGUACCUAUGUGACCAGCCCCCCAAUGCCCUGGGCACUGAUCUCUGAUGAGCUUCCCUGGUACAGAACAUUUCACAUAUAUUUUUUGUUUUGUUUCUAGAGACAGUCUCACUCUGUCACCCAGGCUGUAGUGCAAUGGCGCGAUCUCAGCUCACUGCAACCUCCACCUCCUGGGUUCAAGUGAUUCUCAUGCCUCAGCCUCCCGAGUAGCUGGGAUUACAGGCACCCACCAUCAUGCCCGGCUAAUUUUUGUAUUUUUAGUAGAGACGGGGUUUCACCAUGUUGGCCAGGCUGGUCUUGAACUCCUGAUCCAAGACAGGUGAUCCACCCACCUCGGCCUCUCAAAGUGCUGGGAUUACAGGUGUGAGCCACAGCAUCUGGCCACAUUUGACAUGUUUUGUCACAAUCCAUUGCUGGAGGAAUUAAGCCUGUCCUGUGUGACCACUGGGAGAGGACUCAUGGAUGCUUACACUUGGUUUCCUCUGGACUUCGCUCCAUAUGCCUUUUCCUUUUGCUGAUCUAGUUUGGCAUCCUUUCACCAUAACAAAUCAUAGUGAUGAGCACCACUGCCGUACUGAGUCCUGUGAGUCCUCCUAAUGAAUCAUUGAACCUGGGAGUGGUCUUGGAAACUCCCAGCACACACCCCCAACUAGGGUGUCUGCUUCGUGAGGUCAGAGGCACACUCUGCUUUGCUCACUGCUGUCUCCUUCUAUUAGACACCUCUUCUGCAGCCGGACACUUGGUCUGCUCCACUUGCUGUAGCAACCAGCUGUGUAUGGCUUCUGCCUGGCUCCACGUGGCACAAUCCAGCAGUCCUCCUCUGACAGCCACACCUGUAUGACAGCAGACUCUGUGAGACCCUCUUGGUGCCCACACUGCCCAGAAGUACAGGCAAGUUGCACUUGGUGCAAGCCUUUGACCAACAGGAGAUGGGAACCAGCCAUGAGGGCUUCCUCUGUUCUCUCCCAAGUGGACUUUUUUCAGUCACAUCUUUCCUACUUCUCCAGUGACAGCCUCAUGAGACUGAGCAAUCCAUUGCACUUGAUAACAAGCAGCGGCCAUGCCAGUGACCCUAGGUAACACUCCCUAAUAAAGUCAUAGCACAUGCGCUUUUGCCUCAGACUCCGCUUUCUAGGAAUAGCAUACUGAACCCAGAACAAUGCCUGUCCCAUCAGUGGGACUGAAGGAGUAGCUGUUGAAAGAAUGAAUACCUUAAUUUAAUGAAUUCCUGGAUCAGGAAAAGGGUUCUUUCUGGUAGCCUCUAGGUAUUUCCUGUUCUGAUGCAGUCUCCAGGUUGGGAUGGGGUGGGACCAACAGAGGAACAGAUAUUUGUUUGCUAUAUCCUACUUCAUACCAAAUAAAGGAACCAAGGUGGCUUACAGAGAUGAAUAUAGUAAAACAGAUUUUUAAAUAAGAAAAUCAAAGCAAAAGGAAAUAAGGUGAAAAUACAAGAUGAAUUCACUUAAGCACAUGAAAAGCAUCCAUAAAGCCUUGUAGGAGGUAGGUUGGAGAGCUGACUUAGAGAUUCCCAGCACCGAAAGCAAAGAGGAAAAUCUCGGCAUUAUUAUAAUGUCCCUCAUUGUUCAAAGCAUUAAAUACAAACUAAUCAGCAGAAUAAAAGGUUUCGACUGGGUGUGGUGGCUCAUGCCUGUAAUCCUAGCACCUUGGGAGGCUGAGGCAGGAGGAUCACUUGAGGCCAGGAAUUAGAGACCAGCCUGGGCAAGAUAAGGAGAACCUGUCUCAUAAAAAAGGAAGGAGGGAAGGAGGGAAGGAAGGAAGGAAGGAGGGAAGGAAGGGAGGGAGGGAGGGAGGGGAGGGAGGGAGGGAGGGAAGGAAGGAAGGAAGAAGGAAGGAAGAAGGAAGGAAGAAGGAAGGAAGAAGGGAGGGAGGGAGGAAAGGAGGGAGGGAAGGAGGGAGGAAGGAAGGAAGGAAAGAAGGAGGGAGGGAGGGACGGAGGGAAGGGAAGAAGGAAGGAAGGAAGGAAGGAAGGAGGGCGGGAGGGAAGGGAAGAAGGAAGGAAGGAAGGAAAUAAUAGUUUUCCUUGGUGCAGGAACCUGAGAGAAAUUACUCCCCAAUAAAGGGGAAAGCAUGAAUGGUAAUGGACAACACUUUCAAUAUAUCCUACAACAAAUACAAAGACCUAUUUUUUGUCCCAGUUUCUUAUAAUGUCCUUCAAUUAUGGCCAAUAUGAAAACAAUUCUACAAGGAGUCAGUAAAGUCUAAAUGCAUACCCUCUCUGAUGUCUGGCUUGAUCCAGGGACAAAAUUGAUAAGAAAUAGGUAGUGAUUCUUUACUACUUAGGAGUUGUGGGCCACUCUGAAAAUCCAAUUAUAGAGGCAUGUCAAAAACAUGUCCUGAAAGAGAUAACACAUUUUCUGAAUCCCAGUUCCAGUUCCCGGGAAGUCCUGCUGUAUUGAUAUAUAUCCUGGCAUUCCAUUAGAGCGGAAUAAUAACAAUAACAACAGUGACAUUCAUAAUAAAUGAUAAUAAUAAGAGCAGCAACAACAAACACUUAUUAUAUAGUGCUACAUAACAGGUUUGUUUUUAAGCACCCGGAUGAAUUUUGGAAACUCCUCCCCGAGGCACACACUAAUUUUUCUUGAGAAAGUUGUGCAGAUUUUCUUUCCUUAGGCAAUGAGUAGGCAUUAAAAAGCCACGAUAGGUUCUUUUUUUUUUUUUUUUUUUUUGAAGGUUUCAAAUAUACUUUAUUUCUUCAAUAAUGUCAUAUCUUUUUUUUUUUUUUUUUUUUUUGAGACAGAGUCUCGCUCUGUCGCCCAGGCUGGAGUGCAGGGGUGCGAUCUCGGCUCACUGCAAGCUCUGCCUCCUGGGUUCACGCCAUUCUCCUGCCUCAGCCUCCCGAGAAGCUGGGACCACAGGCGCCCGCCACCACGCCCGGCUAAUUCUUAAUGGGCACACAGUGCUUUCACUUGGCAUCAAUCAUGAGCUGUUUUUUAAACAAUUCGGUAUUACACCAGCUGGAAUGAUCACUGAUCUAUCCGUCCUUUUGGGGUGGCUCAGCUAACAGGGGAUGGGUUCCAUUCCAUUUCGAUUUGUGUUGCUACACUUGUCCAUACAGCAGUACAGAAAGUGGCUCCACUAGCUAAUACAGCAUUACCAUAUCUGUCAUGAAAAUCAGGUGUACCUUUCUGGUGGCUCUGCCUUGCCAUUGUUUGCUGAAUGCUUCGAACUUGGAGACGACUUGAGUGUGUUUUUGACCAAGAGAAACAUCGUGAAGGUGAAGAUAGAACUGCAGCAACGCAGCUGCUGCUUUGGUGCAAAUUCGCUUCGGGUACCCUUGAAGAGCGCUGGAAAAAAAAACCCAUGGUAGGCUCCUUUAAGAAGUGGAAUGAGACAAAGAAACCCUUUUUCAGGAGACUCUGUCUCCUGCAAAGCUAAGCAAGCUGAUAUGGAAGAGACGAGAGGCAGGAAGACCUGUGGAGCAGGGGUUACAGCAACCUUGGCACCAAGUUAUGCAGACAGGAGAUUAAAAUACAUAUAUAUAGUGUGUAUGUAUAUACACAUAUAUGCAUAUAUGUAUAUAUACACACCACAUAUAUACGUGUAUAUACACGUAUAUAUGUGUAUAUACAUAUAUAUGUAUACAUAUGAUUAUACACAUAUAUACGUAUAUAUAUGAUUAUACACAUAUAUACAUAUAUGAUUAUACGUAUAUAUACGUGUAUAUGAUAUGUAUACACGUAUAUAUACGUAUAUACACGUAUAUAUACACAUGUAUACGCAUAUAUACACAUGUAUACGUAUAUAUACACAUGUAUACGUAUACACAUAUAUACGUGUAUACGUAUAUAUACACAUAUAUACGUAUAUGGGUAUAUAUAUACACACAUAUACGUAUAUGUGUAUAUAUACACAUACAUAUGGAUAUAUAUACAUAUAUGUAGAUAUAUAUACAUAUAUACACAUAUGUAGGUAUAUAUACAUAUAUACACAUAUGUGUAUAUACACAUACACACAUAUAUGUAUAUAUGUGUAUAUACGUACAUAUGUGUGUAUAUAUACGUAUAUAUGUACAUGUAUAUAUGUGUAUAUAUACAUAUAUGUAUGUAUAUAUGUGGUGUAUAUAUAUACACAUAUAUAUAUACACACACACACACAUACAGAAGCAUUAAGAACAUCUGAUAAUUUGAUGAAAGGAGCUGUGGAGAGGGAAGUUAAAUAUAGAUGUCCUUGCAUACAUUGCUUUCUUCUGGGCUUCGGUCUCCCCAUUUGUAAUACAAAGGACUCAGUCUCUGAUUCUCUAAUAAUACGAGCUAGCACUUGGGAGCAGAGGCAGUGCCAUAGUGAGUGAUGUUAUUAUGUGUUGAUUGAUUUAAAUUGCUGGCCUUGAGGUGCUACAAGAGCCUUCUGAACACAAGUGAAAGAUUAAAUUACAGUCACUCCAGCUUUGUGGCUGAGUGUCUUUUCUUUUUUCAUCAAGAAGUUCUAGGGACCAGGCGCAGUGGCUCAUGCCUGUAAUCCCAUCACUUUGGGAGGCCGAGGUGGGUGGAUCAUGAGGUCAGGAGAUCGAGACCAUCCUGGCUAACAUGGUGAAACCCGUCUCUACUAAAAAUACAAAAAAAAAAAAAAUUAGCCAGGCGAGGUGGUGGGCGCCUGUAGUGCCAGCUAUUCAGGAGGCUGAGGCAGGAGAAUGGCAUGAACCCAGGGGGUGGAGCCUGCAGUGAGCGGAGAUCGCGCCACUGCACUCCAGACUGGGCGACAGAGCAAGACUCCAUCUCAAAAAAAAAAAAAAAAAAAAAAAGUAGUAAUAGUUCUAGAAAGGCUAUCAUGUGCAGUACCCUGAGCUGGGUACUCUGAAAUAAAGAUGCACCCCUGGCCUGGAAGAGCAUCCAGCUGCAGCCCCUACCCAUGGGGAAGAGCAACGCCUUCCAGGUGCUCAGAGCCUAGCCUAGGAGACAAAUACACAAAGAACCAGUGGAUACCCGACAUGGGUGAGCUGCCUGAGCUUGUACCUGGGCUCUGCGGGCUCAGAAGAGGGUCUGAUGGAUUCUAAUGCUGCUGCUUAGAAACAGGUUCUUGUUCAUUGGAAAACAGGAAAAGCCGUGAAGAUGAAUUCGUUCUCUUGAAAACAAGUUAAAUCUUGAAACCUUAUUACAUGGGGAGAAAUGUCACAGGGAUUUGAACGCCGUUAAAAAAUAAUCAGGGCUCUUAAGCACAUUUGGCUUUUUUAUUGCCUAUGUUCCAGCAACCACAAACUUCUGUCAAAAAAUAAAUAAAUAGCCAAAUGCCAAUGUCAACUUUGAGAGAUGGCCUGGUGGGGCAGGAAGAAAAAAGGACAGGGACUUCGUCUAGUCUGUCCUAGGCAAGUUAUAACAGCUCCUUGGAUUUUAAUUUCCUUGUGCAUAAAAUAUCUGUAACUAUUUAUGCCCCACUUCUCUCAUAAGCUUCACAACUACCAUUUAUUGAACACCUAUGAUGAGGCAGAUACUGUACUAGGAAGUAUGCAUGUAUUUAUCAUCUCGAUUCAUCUCUGCAGUGUCAGAGCAAGGACAGGUGGUCAUUAUUCCGCUGUGGCCAAGGCCACAGAGGGUUGAUGUAACUUUCUUAAGUUCAAAAGCUGCGUGGGGUGGAGCUAUGUUCUGAAGCACAGCUGUCUUGCUUCAAAAUCUGUGCAACUGGAGCCAUCUUUGGGAGUCUGGAACUCCAAGAAAAUAAACCUGGUGAAUCCACCCUAAUUGUGAAGAACCUUGACCACAGGGCUGAGAAACAUGCUUGAAGCAUGUCCUCUCCUGACCUCGGCAACUCUGCAGAUGAUACUAAGGAUCCAAGUGUCCAAAGAAAGACAUAGUUUCUGGCCAGGUGCAGUGGUUCACACCUGUAAUCCCAGCACUUUGGGAGGUUGAAGCAGAGGAUAGUUUGAAACCAGGAGUCAAGACCAGCCUGGAUUCCACCUCUACAAAAAGUGAAAGAAAAAAAAAAUUAGCCAGGUAUGGUGGCACAUGCCUGUAGUCCCAGCUAUUUGGGAGGCUGAGGCAAGAGGAUCCCUUGAGCCUAGGAGGUGAAGGCUGAAGUGAGCUAUGAUCAUGCCACUAUACUCAAGCCUAAGUGACAGAACAAGACCCUGUCUCAAAGGGGAAAAAAAAGACAUAGGUUCUUAGCACUUGCAACCAAGUCAGCAGGUGCCUGUGAAGUCACAAGUGGAUGGAGUUGGAUGUUACCUCCCACCUCCACCGCCCUCCCUCCUGCCUCAACCCCCUCUAAUGGGAAGGGGCUGUGCUUUCCAGUCCAACCCCCACCUCCACAGAACCAAGCAUGCAGGCAGACCCACAAAGGAAUCCUGAAUUAGCUCGACCUGCCUCCCAGCUGCUGGAUGAGCCUAAUUAGACCAAAUUAAUAAUUUAUUCAAGCAAAAUGAGACAUGCCAAGACUCUCCAGGGAGGCUGUAAAAUGAUAAUGCCUUCUUAUUAGGGAAAUGUGUCAACACCCCAUGCAAACUCUGGGUCUGGGAUAGAAGCAGGAGGCUUGACUUGAUUCACCUUGUGAGGACAGCUCCUGGGUCCUUCCACCUGCAUCUCCCCAUGUGUGGUAUCUCCUGUCUCAUUACGCACUCCUCCUCCUUCUUCAUACCCCUUCCUUCUCCUCUUCUUCCUUCCCCGGUAAUUCUCCCCCUCCUUCUGCUCCUCCACCUCUCUUCCUCCUCCUUCUCCUCCCUCUCCCCCUUCUUCACCCUGACACCUCAUUAACCUAAACUUUCAAAUCAUUCUCCCCACCAGAAAGGAAAGCCGGAUGACAAGCUAAUAUUUCCAUGUCACACACUGAGUGAUUCUUACAUAAAAAUUAACAGGCACUUGACAAAGUCAUAAUUACUAACUAAUGAUGCAUUAUGCAAUUUCCAUAAUUAGUCAUGUUAUUGAUAUUUCCUCCCAACCACAGAGAUGGGGGGGGCACCUUUAUUUAUAGCUAGAGAAAUGGCUAAUCUGUGUGCAGGUUGUUGAGAGAGAAUCUAUAGAAAACAGUUCCCUUCUCACACACACCCAGACCCAGCACCUGCCCUCCAGUCCCCUCUGGAGCUGGUUUCUGUCUUCAGAGCAACAGGAACAAACUGAUUAAUCAUGAGCAAGGAUUAAUCGAAGACAUUGAAACAUAGCACUGGGGCAAAGUUUUCAAGUAUCCCAGCCAUGUGAGGCAUACCACAAAAGCAGAUGUGGAAACUGAAAACUUUCAUAGAACUUUGCAAACAGCCUCCUUCACCCCUCAUCUCACAGCAAUCCUCCUGAAGCCCGCAUCUAUUAAUCCAUUUUUCAGGUGAGAAAACUAAGGCUUGCAGAAGUGAAACAAUGUGCCCAAGUGCACAGUGGGCAUGCGCAAAGCUGGGAUACAAAUGCAUAUCUUCCAGUUAAAAGCCUGGGAGGCAGUGCUGUACGGUGGAUUCAGAUAGCAAGUUCAAACACUCCCUCCCAGCAGCUCUGCUGUCUUAGGCAAAUUACCAACUUCUCUCAGCCCUGGUUUCCUCCUCCUUAAAAUGAAAAAUAAAAAAAGCAAAAACAAAAACCAUAUUACAGAGUGUUGUUAUGAUUAAAUAAAUCCCUCGCUAUCACAUAAGUGGUAUUACAUGUGACAUUAUGUGACCCUAUAUUACAUUAUAUCACAUGAUGUUAUGUUAUAUAUCUUUUUGUUUCAUUGUUCAUUGCUUGUAUUCCUCCCUAGACUAUAAUCCUGUGGGCAAGUACUUGGGUUGUUUGCUGUUGUAUUUCCCUAUCUGGAACAGUGUCUGGCACAUAUUAAGUGCUCCGAGAAUGAAAGAAUAAAUGAAAUGCUUAGUAUGUUGCCUGGGCCAUCAUUGACACUCAGUAAAACAAGUCCCUUUCUCUCCCUGUUGCCACAGCCAGAAGCUUUGCCUGGCUGUGGUCAGGCUGGACAGGGCUUUGAUCUCCCCAACAUAAACUGGCCUAAUUUGAGAUGGGGAAUCUCACAGGGACAAGACCAAGCCUCCAAUCCAAUCAGCCACUGUUUGUCUAAUGACCAUCGGCACGGAGAUUGCUCUCUGGAUGAUCACACAAGCGGAUGCUGCAGGCCCCUUGUCUUUGCUGCUUACCCACAAGGGGAGAGACUGCAGGUGAAGAUCAAAAAUAGAACCACCGGGCAGGGUGCAGUGGUUCACACCUGUAAUCUCAGCACUUUGGGAGGCCAAGGCAGGUGGAUGGCCUUGAGCUCAGGAAUUUGAGACCAGCCUGGGCAACAUGGCAAAACCCCAUCUCUACAGAAAAAAAAUAUAAAAAUUAGCUGGGCACGAUUGCACAUGCCUGUGGUCCCAGCUACUCGAGAGGCUGAGGCUGGAGAAUUGCUGGAACCUGGGAGACAGAGGUUGCAGUGAGCUGAAAUCGCAAAACUGCACUCCAGCCUGGGUGACAGAGUGAGACUCCGUCUCAGAAAAAAAAAAAAAAAUAGCAAUCACCACAACAGGUGUGCAAAGGGCUACGUGAACAGUAGAGAUAGUGAGUGACCUGAGAUGCUGGGGAGGGAGAGACAGGGACAGUUUGGUUUGAUCUAGAAAGGUGUUAUGCCACGCAGAGACAGUGAAUUGGAGUUCCCAGAAUGCGCCAUAUUUCUGCAUCUCCACACGCUUGCACAUGUUGCUCCUUCUAACUGGGAUGCCCUUGUCCUCUUGUCCACCUGCUGAACAACUACUCAACCUUCAAGACUCAGCUCUGAUGGAGCCUCCUUUAGAAAGAGUUCCUUGAGCCCUCUAAACACAGAUAAGCACCUCCUGUUGAUUUAACCUCUGAUCACUCUAUAGGAAGAUGAAUUAUCCAAAUAUACACAUGCAGGCACCUACUGUAUGCAGAGCAGUCUGCUAAGCUUGGUGAAGAAUAUAAUGACUGCCCUCAAAGAACUUACCAGAGUACUCUAGUUAUGGGGUGGGGCAGGGGACACAAAACCUACUUUUCAGUGGAAAAACAUUAGAUUAAAUCAUAUGAAAUUGCCAUUUUAGUAAGUGAUAUGGUUUGGCUGUGUCCCCACCCAAAUCUCAUCUUGAAUUGUACUCCCAUAAUUCCCAUGUGUUGUGGGAGGGACCCAGUGGGAGAUAAUUGAAUCAUGGGGCAGUUUCCCCCAUACUCUUCUCUUGGUAGUGAGUAAGUCUCAGGAGAUCUGAUGGUUUUAUCAGGGGUCUCCACUUUUGCGUCUUCUUCAUGUUCUCUUUGCCUGCUGCUGCCAUCCAUGUAAGAUGGGACUUGCUCCUCCUUGCCCUCCACCAUGAUUGUGAGGCUUCCCCAGUCACGUGGAACUGUAAGUCCAAUUAAACCUCUUUCUUUGUAAAUUGCUCCAUCUCGGGUAUGUCUUUAUCAUCAGCAUGAAAACCGACUAACACAGUUAAGUCAAAAUGGCUGAAUAUUGGUAAUUCCAUAUGGUACAACCUAAUAAUUAACAAUGCAAGCUUACCUAUAAGCAACCUCAUUUCCUAAUAUCUGCAUAGCAUUUUCACUUUGCAGGAUGCUUUCAUGCCCAUGAUCUCAUGUGAGCCUCACACUCUCUCUGCGCCUUAGGCACUUUCAUUUACUUAUUUAUUUAUUUAGAGAUGGGGUCUUGCUCUUGCCCAGGCUGGAAUGCAGUGGCACAGUCAUAACUCACUGCAGCCUCAACUUCCUGGGCUCAAGCAAUCCUCCUGCCUCAGCCUCUUGAGUAGCUGGGACUACAGGCGUGCACCACCACACCCGGCUAAGCUUUAGACACUUUUGUUGUCCCCAUUUUACAGAAGAGAAAACUGACGCACAGGGUCAGUGACUUCCCCAAGGUUCCUGCAGUUAGUAAAAGGCCAAGACAGAACUUGAUCCCAUAUCAUCUGAAUCCUAAUAUGAUGCUCAUGUAUAUUGCUCAAGGUUAAACAGACCACUCAUGCUGAAGGGGUUGGAGAAGGUAUAGAAGGAGGAAAUCAGAAAAAUACAGGAAAUUUCAUAAAAUUGAGAGUUGUGCAGGGAUGGGAACUCAUCAAUCAUUCAUUUGGCCAAUACUUAUUAUGCAACUACUAGGUGGUAGGCCCUAAGCUAGACACCAGAGAAACAGAGUUGAUCUAAGAAAAUAAGGUCCCUACCCCCACGGGGGGGCAGGGAAGACAACUGUAAGCAGGUAAAUAAAUGAUAAGGUACUCUCAGAAAAUCAUUAAGUGCUAUGAAGAAAAUAAAACAGAAUAUGUAAUGAAGAGUAGGGGAUGGGUGAGUGAAGGAGGCCUGAGAGAGGUGAGCAGGGAAGGCCUCCUAGGCACGUUCCCUGUGUGCCGAAAAGAAUGGGACCAAGCAGAGUUCUAAGGGAAGAGCAUUUCAGGAGGGUAAUUGAUAUGGUUUGGCUGUGUCCCCACCCAAAUCUCCUCUUGAAUUGUAGCUCUCACAAUUCCCAUACUUCGUGGGAGGAAUCUGGUGGGAGGUCAUUGAAUCAUGGGGGCGGGUCUUUCCCAUGCUGUUCUCGCGAUAGUGAAUAAAUCUCACAAGAUCUGAUGGUUUUUUAAAGGGGAGUUCCCCUGCACAAGCUCUCUCUUGUCUGCCACCAUAUAAAACAUCCCUUCCUAUUCUGCCAUGAAUGUGAGGCCUCCCUAGCCAUGUGGAAUUUUGAGACAAAUAAACCUCUUUCCUUUAUAAAUUACCCAGUCUCUGGUAUGUUUUAUCAGCAGCGUGAGAACAGACUAAUACAGUAGUCAAUGCAAAAACCUUGAGGUUAGAAUGAGUUUGGUGUCCAAGGUCAGAGACAAGGGCAGUGUGACUGAAGCAAGGGACAAAGAGGGAGUGGUAUGAGAUGAGGUCUCAGCUUGCAUGAAUCAAGUCAGAGAAUACUUCCUGGGGAAAGUAAGCUGUAACCCAGACUGCAAAGGCAGAGUAGGAUUUGGAGAGGGAGCAAGCAAAGAGGGAGAGAGCUCCACCACAAACAUCAUCUCUGAUCUCUGGCUGGUCCACUGACUCAGCAGGGGCAGUGAUCAUCACCAACCACAGUUUCUUGAUGAAGAAAUUUCAUCAGGAUGAAGUGGUUGGAUUUAGACUGCAGAACACACAUUUCCAGGAGUUUCAAUCAUUGUCUUCAUCUUCAAUUAACUCACUGUUCAUAGAAGAAGAAUAAAGUUUGUGGCACUCCAAAGUGUUGAAUCUGGAGCCUUGACCAAUGGGUGGAAGCUUCAGAAUAGCAAAUUGGAUGCAACAGAUAGAGAAACAGGCAGAGCUGAACUCCAAGACAAUGGGCUUAUGCAGAAAGCAAUGAGAGUCUCGGCCUUGGAGGCAUGCCAGCCAAGGCCCGAGCAGCACCUAACAGGGAUCUGAGAGAGAGCUGAGUGUCAGAGGAGGUUCCAAAAGGAUGACUUUAACUACAGUGAUCCUACAUUGCAGUUCACCCAACAGUCCCUGUUAUGCUUGUUGUCCCCAUGUAGUUGUCAUUACUGCUAUUUCCUUCCUAGAAGGUCCCAGAAUGGGAAAUAAAUGAUACGGACCCCUAACUCUAAGGCCCCUCUCAACUCUGACACUCUGUGAUUCUCUUUCCUAUCAUGUCGCCUCUCUCCAGCCUCUUCAGCUGUCAUCCUACAGUAUUUGCUUAAAUAUCCCUUCCACCAGGGGCCCUGUCCUCGGUCCUCUGAAACUGCUGGUUCCAACUGCCCAGCAGUCCUUCUGCUGUAAUGCCAGCCUGAGUUUCCUUUGGGAAACCUGCUCUUCAUUCUCUGGGAGUGGGCACGGGACUCCACCUGGCCAAUCAGAGCAUGCCGACCAUCCUCCUGACCAGGUCAUCAGUGUGGGGUUGAUGAUGCCACCUUGACAGUCUGCUGAGAACAAAGCUCACACAGGGGCAAACUGAGCAGAGGCAUCGUGCUAAAGCCAAUUUGAACAACAGGAUGCACCCAUGCCUGAAGCCAACCCCAACCCCAGCUUGUCACUUACCUGAGCCGGUAACACCCCCUUUUGGUUAACCCAGUUGAGUGAGGUUUCUGUCAUUUGCAGAGGAAAGACAAUCUGGCCCCCACCCAGUCUAGGCCCCCUGCUGUGUGUCCUCAGAGCACCCUGCACUUUUCCUCUGAAUAGUUAUGUCAUCCUUCAUUCUAAAUCCAGGCUGCACAUCUGACUCCUACAAAAGCAGAAGUGCCAUGAAAGCAGGAACAUCUGCCUAAACCCUCCCAGUCCAGAUGGGAGCAUGGGCCACUUCUUCCCAUCAUGGGGGCCUCCACUCAAAAGUGACCUCCUUGGGGAAGCUGCCUCUGACCACCCUGUCUAAAACAGCUCCUCCAGUGAUGCUCUUCUUCCCAGGCCACCGGCUUCUCUUCAGAGCACCUUUCCUGUCAUUUUGCAACAUGUCACUCUAGAUUACCUCUCUGUUAACCUAUUAUCUUUCUCCCCACAAUAACGUAACUGAAGUCACUGGCUCGUAGCAGGGACCUUGUUGUUUGAUUUUCCACUGUCUGCACAAUGCCUGGCAUAGCCAGGGCUUCUGAUAACCAUGGUGAAUGAAUGAGCAGGAGUGAAUGAAGGAAUGAAGUGUCAGCAUGGGAAUUAGUUGAAAUCAUGAGUGGAACAAGCAUAACAAAGUGCCUUGGUAAAACUGAAGGUUCAAUAAGUGUGAGCUGCUCUUUCUAUGGCUUCUACUGUAGUCAUUCUUCCUGGGCGUUAACCACACUCCAUCUCUGUGCCAGGCAUGGUGAGUGACACAGUUAACACAUUCAGGGCUAUAGCUAAGACCUUUACACGUAUUAUUUCUUUUUUUUUUUUUUUUUUUUUUUUUUGAGACGGAGUCUCGCUCUGUCGCCCAGGCUGGAGUGCAGUGGCGCGAUCUCGGUUCACUGCAAGCUCUGCCUCCCGGGUUCACGCCGUUCUCCUGCCUCAGCCUCCCGAGUAGCUGGGACUACAGGUGCCCACUACCACGCCCGGCUAAUUUUUUUGUAUUUUUAGUAGAGACGGGGCUUCACUGUGUUAGCCAGGAUGGUCUUGAUCUCCUGAACUCAUGAUCCGCCCACCUCAGCCUCCCAAAGUGCUAGGAUUACAGGCGUGAGCUACUGCACCCGGCCACACGUAUUAUUUCACUUAAGCUUCCUAACAACCUUAGGAGGUAAGUAUUAUUACAAUUCCUGGCUUACAGAUGAGGAAACUAAGGCACAGAGAGGCAAAGUAACUUGCCCUGAGUCACACAGCUAAAUGGCAGAGCCAGGGCUGGGAUACAGGACACCUGGUACACCAUCUGUCACUUAAUCGCUAAAUAGCCUUUGCAUCAUGCAGGUAAAAAAAAAGGCAGAGUCACUGCUCUCAGAGUAGACCAGAUACAUGAAAUAGUGUGAGUGCCCUGCACAUAAGUGCUUAAUAAAUUAAUGCAUCAUUCAUUGAAUUGAGGGGAGGAAGAUAGAGCCACUCUGGCCACAGAAUUCAAACCUGCUUUGUUCCCUCACUGGUCAGCAUAAAUUUACCCUCAUUCAAGCUAAGAGGUAAUUUACACCGUAAUUUCAGCUUCCUGCAACUUCAGAGGAAUCGAUGGAAAGGCAGCCUUACCUAAGAUCUUUUCCUUUGAAAAGAGAUGUGGGAAGAGGUGGGUGUGCAGGGAGGAGGCAGAAAGGAACUGUUGAUUAUAUUCAAGAUUAUAUUUGAAAUAAUUUAUAAAGUGUCACAUGGUAAAUGGGCCUUUAAAUGGAGCCUGAUACUCCUUCAAACUGCCAUUUCUCUCCUUUCCAUUCAUGAGAAGUGUUCUCGCCGCACUCUCUCCUCCCCCGACGUCUGAGCAGUGUACAGGCACAUUUCAGAGGAGCCAAGAAUUAAAUCAAAAUUACAUUUCUCUCGCCGUCUCUUGGACGAGUGAAACGGUUCAUUCUUAUUGGCUCCUGGAGGCUCAGGGGGCCAGGGGAGGGUUGAUAAUAUUGCUGUGUAUUCAUAGCCCACUGUUCAGCAAGGAGGGCCUGCAAGCAUUAUCUUGCAGCAGGCUGUGUUAUUAACUGGUAACGAGCUUUCAGCCGUAAGUCACAGGCUGGAAUGAGGCCCCUGAGGUGAGUGAGAACUGAAAGCUGCUUCUAAAAAUGGCUAGAUCAGGCCAGGCACAGUGGCUUAUGCCUGUAAUUCCAGCACUUUAGGAGUCCGAGGUGGGAAGAUUCCUUCAGUCCAGGAGUUUGAGACCAGCCUAGGCAACAAAGCAAGACCCGAUCUCAAUUUUUUUUAAAAAAAAGAGAAAUUAGCUGGGCAUCGUGGUGCAUGCCUGUAGUCCCAGCUACACAGGAGGAUGGCUUGAGCUCAUGAGUGUGAGGCUGCAGUGAGCUAUGAUCUUGCCACUGCACUCCAGCCUGGGCAACAGAGCAAGAGCUUGACUCUAAAAAGAAUAAGAAAACAAAAGGGCACGCUCCCUCUCCUGUCUGAAGUUUCUCCUGUAAGAUGGAGCUCACAAAGGGAAAGGCAGAGAGGCUCUAUCAGUUAGGAAUGCUUUCUGCUGCCAGUAACAGCACGUCUGACUAAUAUAAACAAGGAGCUCACAGGUCGAUUCAGUAGCUCAGUGAUGUCAGGGCAGCGUCCCGCCAAUCCUCUUGGCCUUUCCCUCAUGAUUAUUAGAUGGCUGCUAUAGCUCCAGACACCACACCCAAGUAGGAUGAAAGGGAGGGAAGAGUAAAGACAAAUCCACCCAUCCCUUUUGCCAGUAAAUCAAAAGCUUUCUCAGAAGCCCUACCCUCACCUCCCAGCAGACUUCCACUCACAUCCCACUGGCCAAAAUGGGGUCACAUUAACAUACCUAGCUGCACUCUAAAUUAGUUAUCAAAUGAGAAAAGUGGGGAGAGGCUGCCACAUUAGCCAGCUAACAGUGCAGGGGAGUGAAAAGAGCACUGACCCAGGAGGCAGACAGUUGGGCUCUUCUACCAUCUAGGUCCACGAUCCUAGUCUGAGUCUCAGUUUCCUCACCUGUUAAAUGGGAAGCAUUGAACCAGAUAAACUAUCUCUCUGACACUGAGUCAGUUUAUGACUUCUACAGAAAUACCCCGUGCUGACCUCAUGGGGGCCUCCACUCAAGGGUGACCUCCUUGGAGAAGCUGCCUCUGACCACCCUGUCUAAAAUAGCUCCUCCCCUGCUCCUUGCUCUGGAAUUGGCAGCCCAGUUCAUUGGUACCAAGUGGUAGGCUGGAGACUCUAGAGCCUAGUUUGAGAGGAAGGGAGUUAAGACCAUAAGAGAGACUGGGGGAUCAAGAUUUCUCGGUUCUCUUUCCUUGUCCUAAGAUUUUGGACAUGUCCAGGAUAGAGUCUUCCAAUUGAAAGUUAUGUAACCUGAAAUAAUAGUAAUAACAAUGAUGCAAACUUUGAAUGAAACUUCACUAUGCACCAGACACUAUGCAAGAGCUUCACAAGCAUAAUCUUCUCAGAUUCUAACAAUCCCACAAUGUAGUUGUUAUCAAUACACCCAUUCCAUAGAUGGGUAAACUGAUGCUCCACAUCAUGCCCUCGCCUGACUUCACACAGCUAGGAAGUGGAGGAGCUGUGGUUCAGCUCAGGUUCUUACCAACAGCCCAGGUUCUUAACAGAACAUUUUAUCCUCUACCCAUUCCAGAAACUCUACCAUUAUCCUGCUUACCCUUAUUCCCAUCACAACCCUUGAAGGUUGUCUUAGUCCUUUCAGGGUACUCUAAUAAAAUACCUUAAACUGGGUAAUUUAUAAACAACAGAAAUGUAUUGCUCAUAGUUCUGCAGGCUGGGAAGUCCAAGAUCAAGGGACCAGCAUAUUCCAUGUCUGGUGAGGGCCCAUUCUUAGAUGGCAACUCCUACAUCCUCAAAUGACAGAACGGCAAAGAGGGGCAAACAAGCUUUCUUGAGCCUCUUUUUUAAGGACACUAAUCCCAUUCACAAGGACCCUACCCUCAUGAUUCAUUCACAUCCGAAAGGCCCCACCUCUUAAUACCACCAUACUGGGGUUCAGGUUUCAAUAUAUGAAUUUUGGGGAGACGCAAACAUCAGGCCAUUGUAUUCCACCCCUGGUCCCCAAAAUUAUGUCCUUCUCACGCUCUAAAUAUAUUUCAUCUCAAUAGCCCCAAAAGUCUUACUUCUUUCCAGCAUCAACUUUGAAGUCCAAAGUGUCAUCUAAUUAUCUAAAUCAGAUCUGUGUGAGACUCAAGGUAUAAUUCAUCCUGAGGCAAAUAUCUUUCCAGCUAUGAGCCCACUAAAUCAAACAAGUUGUGUGCUUCCAAAACCCAACGGUGGGACAAGCAAAGGACAGACAUUCCCAUUCCAAAUAGGAGAAAUAGGAAGGCAAAAAGGGAUAAUUUGUCCCAUGUAAGUCCAAACCCCAACAGGACAAACAACAUUAAGUCUUAGGGCUGCAGGAGGAUCUUUGACUCCGUAUCUUUGGAACAUAUUGGGGCAGGGGUUGAGCUCCCAAGGUUCCAAGUGGUCCUACCCCCCAUGACUUUGCUGGGUACAGCUCAUGCAGGAGCUCUUACAGAUUGGAGUUGCAAGCCUAUGGCUCUCCCAGACUGGAAUCACUGGCCGGUGGCUCUACUGGUCUGGAGUCUCAGGGUCAGCCCCACCCCCAAGGUUCUGCUGGGCUUUGCCCUAGUGGCGAUUCUCACAGGCAUUGUUCUGCAGCGGUCUCUGCUUUGACCCUGAGCCUUUCUAGGGCAUCCCUUGAAAUCUAGGAGGAGGUAGCCAUGCUGCCACAGCUUGUGCACUCUGUGUGGCAGCAGAGACGGCACUAUGUGGACACUUACAAGGUUUACCACCUGAGCCCUUUGUAGAGAGGGACCAAGGCACACCUAAGGCUUCCAAGGAGUACUGCACCAGAAGGCAGGGAGCAGAGUCCUGAAAUCAUUCUGCCCCUAGGGCCCUAGCAUUCUGGGCCUGAGAUAGGUAGUGCAGCCCCAGAGAUCUCCAAAAUGUCUUCAGGGUCAUUUUUUCCACAGUCUUGAUGAACAGCACCUGGCUUCUUCUGAGCCAUACUAAUCUCCUAUCAAAUGACAGCCUUCGCCACACACUCCAUGUUCUCUCCUGAACAUGGCUUUUCAUUCUUUACAAUAUGGUAAGGAUAAGAAUUUUCCAAAUCUUUAAGUUCAGCUUCCCUUUUGAUUAUAAAUUCCAAAUUUAAUAUGUGUCUCUCUUCUUACAUUUUACUGUUGGCAGUCAAGAGAAGCCAUGCCACAUCCUCGACACUUUGCUUAAAGAUUAAUUCUACCAAAUAUCCUAUUUCAUCACUGUAUUAGUCCAUUUUCACACUGCUAUAAAAAAAAAUACCCAGGCCGGGAGCAGUGGCUCAUGCCUGUAAUCCCAGCACUUUGGGGGCUGAGGCGGGCAGAUCACGAGGUCAAGAGAUGGAAACCCUCCUGGCCAACAUGGUGAAAUCUCAUCUCUAUUGAAAAUACAAAAAUUAGCUGGGCAUGAUGGUGUGUGCCUGUAGUCCCAGCUACUUGGGAGGCUGAAGCAGGAAAAUCGCUUGAACCCGGGAGGCAGAGGUUGCAGUGAGCCAAGAUCGCACCACUGCACUCCAGCCUAGAGGCAGAGCAAGACUCCAUCUCAAAAAAAAAAAAAAAAAGAAAGAAAGAAAGAAAGAAAUACCUGAGACUGGGUAAUUUAUAAAGGAAAGAGGUUUAAUUGACUCCCAGUUCAGCAUGGCUAGGGAGGCCUCACGAAACUUACAAUCAUGGCGGAAGGCAAAGGAAAAGCAAGGUGCAUCUUACAUGACAGCAGGCGAGAGAGAGAGAGUGUGUGCAGGGAAAAGCACCAGACACUUAUCAAACAACCAGAUGUCAUGAGAACUCCCUCACUAUCAUGAGAACAGCAUGGGGAAAACCACUCCCAUGAUCCAAUCACCUCCCGCCGGGUCCUUCCCUCGACAUGUGCAGAUUACAAUUCAAGAUGCGAUUUGGGUGGAGACACAGAGCCAAACCAUAUCACUCACUCAGAUAUUCUACCUGCCACAAAGCACUAGGACACAUGCACAAUUCAGUCUCAUUCUUUGCCAGUGUAUAACAAGGAUGGCCUUUCCUCCAUUUCCGAUAGUAUAUUCCUCAUUUCCAUCUGAGACCUCAUCAUAAUGCCCUUUACCAUUCAUGUUUUACCAGCACUCUGUUCACAACCUCUUCAGUAAUCUCUAAAAAGAAGGCUUUCCCCACAGCUCUCCUUUUCUGAGCCCUCCCAAGAAUCGCCCUUAAUGUUGCAUUCACAGUAAUCUAGGCUUUUUCUAGCUUGCACCUCCACCUUCUUCUAUCCUCUUCCCAUUACCCAGUAGCAAAGCCACUUGCACAUUUUUAGGUAUUUGUUAAAGCAACGCUCCACUUCUCAAUACCAAUUUUGGUCUUAGUCUGUUCCUGCUGCUAUAAUAAACUACCAUAGGCUGGGUAGUUUAUAAACAACAGAAAGUUAUUGCUCAUAGUUCUGGAUGCCAAGAAGUUCAGGAUUAAGGCACCAGCAGAUUCAGUGUCCAGUGAGGACCUGUUCCUCAUAGAUGGUGCCUUUUGUGUCAGCACAUAACAGAAGGGUAAAAAGGGACAAACAAGAUCACUUGAGCCUCUUUUAUAAAGGCACUAAUCCCAUUCACGAGAGCUCCACCCUCAUGACCUAGUCACCUCUGAAAGGCCUCAGCUCUUCAUAUCACCACAUUGGGGUUUAGGUUUCAACCUCUGAAUUUUGUAAGAAACACAUUCAGGCCAUAGCAGGGGUAUGUAUCAUCCUCAUCUUUUACAGAAAAGCAAGACUCAGAGACAUUAUGUGAUUGAUCUGAAGUAACUGCUACUAAGUGCUAGAGGCACUCAGCUAGAGGCCAAAUUUGAAUGGAGCACUCACUCAGAGCCAUGCUCUUCCACAAUACCAUGCCAUGCAGGAGUCUACCAGGGCAAGCGCCUCUGGGAGGCUCAUCUUUGGAGCUACCCUAUAUAAACCCUUGCCAGCAUGGCAGGUUCCAGAAAGCCAAUCAAUGCUGACCCUGCUUGUCCUUUCCUGCUAACUCUGGAAUUUGUCAAGAAGAGCCUGGGGGGGCAUACUGAGUGGGCUUUGCUCCUGUGGGGACUCCCAGGGGUGGCAGGAUGGUCUUUGAAGAGCUGCAUCAUGACCAGAGGUUGACUAACACCAUGAUUCAACCUCUGCGGCAACCAGCUCUUCCAGGGCUCAAGACAACUGGUAAUGGGGUAUAAGAAGGGAGACUCUGAGCCCCACAGGUCCCCUCUGUGAUUCUCAAUUUCUACAGAAGCAGAAGGAAAAUGGGAUGAUGGCCAUAGCUUCCCAGAUGACAAAACCCCAAAACACUGACUUGAGGACUUCUGGAAGCCUAACCCUUUGGGGUCAUACCCAGUUCCAAGGUGGAAGGGACAGGGGCAUUCCUUAUGAGGAUGUAGUAUCACUCAGAUGCCAUCGAGAGUCAAGAGGAAGCCUCGGAGAUCUGCCAUGCUCUGUUGCCCCUCCAGGCUACACAUUGCCAUGAAGCAAAGAGGGGGCCCUGCAACAGUGCAGGCUCCUGGCAAGACCCCUACUCUUUUCUCCCUUGGCCCAACACCACCUCAGACUACCAACUGUCUGGAGACCCCUGGGAACAGUCUUGGGGGGACUGUUCCCAUCAUGCCCUCAAUCCCUGUUUGUGUCAGCCCCAGUGAGCAGCCCAGGACCCCCAGGGUAGCUUCAUCCUCUGGACUCAUCUUCAUUCAGUUUUACGGAGGGGAGAGGCCACCCCCAGGAUCCCCUUCUUGACAUUAUUUUUCUCCACAGCACCCAUCACCAUCUGAAAUUCUCUAUGUCUUAUUGAUUUGUCCCUUUCUGCCUCCCAUGUCAUGAAAGUAGACUCCAGGAGGGAGAGACAUCACUGCCUUAUCCCAAACCCUUGGAUGGUCCUGAUACAUAGUGGGACUUUGACAAGUAUUUGCCACAUAAAUGAACUACUCAAUGAAUGAUGAAUGGCAAACUAAUGGAAACCAAACUAAAAGUGGCUUUCUAGGUUGGAUCAACCAGCAGCUCCAUGCUGUGAGGUUUCUCUGUGGUUCUCCCGGCUUUCCCAUCAUGCUUGCGAGAUGGCUGCCCCAACCCAAAGCACCGUGCCUUCAUGUGACAAUGCCCUAGGACAGGAAGGACAAGUCUCUGUCCUCUGCCCCUUUAGAGGGAUGAAGAAAACCUGCCCAGUAGCCCACAGCAGCCUCGCUGGGCAGUUUGUUUCACCUGCCUGUGCCUCGACCCAUCAUUGGCCAAGAGAAUGGAAUUCUGUGUUCUGUUUAUACCAAUCAGCAUUUCCUGCCCUUCCUCCAGUAAAGGAAGGGACCUGAAGCACCUGGGCACCCAUCCCUUGAGCAAAGCCUGGAUGCUCUAAGAAGAGAGGAGGUGGGAAGACACUGACUGUGGGGAGGCAGUGCUCCAAGUGUGCCAUGAAUGCCUUAAUUUUAAGUGCAAUCUUUUCCUUAAGAGGAUGUUUGUGUCCCUCCAAAAUCUCUUCCUUAAGAGCUUUAUUUUUCUGUGCUUCUUUCUCUUCCCAGCAUAAACCAGUCCAGCCAGCCUCAGCAGCUUUCUUUCCUUCCCCCAACUCAUUAUCGCAGCCCUGCACAAGGGCCAAGGAAUCCACCUAACAAAGAUAAAAUGUCCUCAGCAGCUGGAAGGCAGCAAAGCUAUGCAGUUUCACAUGGUCAGCCAUGAGUCAGAAGUUCCCAGAGCGUCUCCUGCCAAAGCUGCCUCUAGGAACACCUGGUGAGCAACUGCUGGCUCUGAGGAGAAGGGUCUGGAGGGCAUGGUGAAUGAGAAAACAUAUAUAAUCUUCCGCCACAUUUCUGGUAGCUUCUUAUAGUCUAAAAAGCAGUUUGCCUUAGAUUUCAUGUAAUCCUUAUAAGAAGCCCAAGAGGUGACCAUUAGGUUCACCCCCAUUUAACAGAUGAGGAAAUGAAGAAUCAGAAAAAUAAGAAUGGGUUGUCCAAGGCUAGAGCCAGAGACCUAGAAGGACCCUGCCACUUGACCACUGCACACAUGAAUGCCUGCUUGAGUGUGCAUGUGCACACCUGCAUACAUGAACAAAUGCCUCCAACACAUACACAUGUUUCAACAUUUCACACUGCCCCCAAGGCAAAUACUACUUCUGAAACCAUCCACAGAGGACCCUUCCCUGAAUUUCCUUCUCAAUUCCCCCAGCUGAGAUGGCUGAACUGGAUUGGAGGUGAUUCCCUGACCAGGAAUUCCACAAACCAUUUUCAAUGGUGGCAUGAGAUUAGUCCAGGGGCUCCACCAAAAUACCAGGUCUUGGUUUCUUGCUGGGGUCCCAAUCCAUAGGGCUCUCCUCUUUCCACAAUUCUGCCCCUGCUGUGAGUUCAGCCCCCAUCAAAACAGACAUGGAGUAAGAACAGAGCCUCAGCAGGGAGGACGUAAGUGCUUGAAACUCAGGGUGGUCCCUAGACUGGCAGCAUCAGAAUCACCUGGGAGCUUGUUAGAAAUACAGAAUCCCCGAUCUUUUGAACCAGAAUUUGCACUCUUAUGAGAUGCCCAGGGAAUGCCCAAGAGACAGCAGCCUCCAGCCUUAUUUUAGGAUGCAACCUCCAGUUGCCCACACGCCUUGCCUGAACCUUCCCCGCUGCUGACUUGUGUAACUAGAGUAUUGCCUACUUUCCAAGAUAAAUUCCUACCUGCAUUCCACUUAUGAUAAAUAGAUACCUGUAUUGUUCCCUGUGACUAAAUGCUUUUGCAGGGGUUGGGAGGGCUGCCUACCAGCCCAGGCUGUCUGUGACCAGGAGCCUCAGUCUAAAAUCCCACAAUCUCAUCAGAAAAGAAAGGAUGCUGCUGUGGUGUGUAGAUCAUGGAGAGACUUUGAGAUUAAAAAGACUUGAGUUUGAGUUUGCCUGGAGUAAAAUGCAAACUUUCUAUGUUCUACUUAUGAAAUGGAAACAAUAAGCCUCCACUGCAGGACUCUAUGAGAUCACAGAAGAAAAAGGUGUUGGCCCAAGGUAGGUGUUCAAUAUAUCUUAGUUCUUCUUCACUGACCCACCCAUAGAUGGCUGUGGCAAAGCUUCAGACAAACCUCUAUAAUCCUGACAUCACAAAUCAGUGAUUAUUCCCCAAAUCGGUUAGGAUGCUCUGGGCUACAGGUAACAGAAGACCCAACUAAAAGUGGCUUAGAUGAUGAUAUGGUCUGGUUCUGUGUCCCCACCCAAAUCUCAUCUUGAAUUGUAAUUCCCACAUGUUGGGGGAGGGGCCUCGUGGGAGGUGAUUGAAUCAUGGGGGUGGUUCCCCCAUGCUGUUCUCAUGACAGUGAGUGAGUUCUCACAAGAUCUGAUGAUUUGGGGAGGGGCUUUUUCCCCCACUUCGCUCUACACUUCUCUCAUUCUUCUCCUUCCUGCUGCCACAUGAAAAAGGACGUGUUUGCUUCUCCUUCCACCAUGAUUGUAAGUUUCCUGAGGCCUCCCCAGCCAUGCAGAACUGUGAAUCAAUUAACUCUCUUUUCUUUAUAAAUUACCCAGUCUCAAAUAUUUCUUCAUAGCAGUGUGAGAACAAACUAAUACAGAUGAUAAGAAAUUUAUCAUCUCACGUAACAAGCUGCCCAAGGAAGUCCAAGGUUGGUUAACUCAGCAGUUCGACACCAGCUUCAAGGACUCAGGUACUUGCUUUCUUUCUGCUCUGUGAGUUUCAGCAUGCCUCAUGGGCAUGAAAAGACUGCAGCACUUCCAGGCAUCACAUAUUGCAUCCAGCAAAAACAAGGGAGUUCCCUACAGCAGACUUCCUCUCAGUUCCAUGGGCCAAGAUUGGCCCACACAUCCUUGCCUAAACCAUUCACUAGCCUGGCCAAUCUUGAUCUCCUCCCUGAGGCUGAGAAAGGAACCAGCAUCUACUAAAGCACACGGUUUCUCUGAAAAGGAAAAUAAGGUAGGAGAAGCUGUUGGCUCCUCAGCCAACAGUGUCUGUCACAGGCCUGCUACCCAGGAUGUGCCUUUCUGACUUUGCCUGCUGCACUAAAGCUGCUUCUGGGGCUGAGGGACCACACUCUCGAUAAACCCAUUCUUCCUAUAACACUGGUUCUCAAACUCACCUGCACCUUGGAAUUGCUUGGAUAUUUUUUUUUAAUACUGAUGCCUAGGUCUGUAUCACAGAGAUUCUGAUAAUUGGUCCAAAGUGAGGCCUAAGCCUGGGGAUUAAAUCUCCUCAGAUGAGUUAAUGUUUGAGAACCACUUGUCUAGAUCAAUGGUUCUCAACAUUUAAGGCACCUCAGAGUCAUCCAGAGUUCCUGACUCAGCAGGUCUGAUGUAGAACCUGAGGGUUGCAUUUCUAACAAGUUCCCAGGUAAUCUGAUGGUACUGACUUAGGGACCACACUUUGAGAACUGCUGGUCUGGAUUAGUGCUUUAUAAACUUCAAUGUGCAUAUAAACCAAUUUGGAGUAUCUCAUUAAAAUGAACAUGCUGGUCCCAUAGGUCUGAAUGGGGUCCAAGACUCUGC